UGAGAAAAAAAUUACAAAAGAAAUAGCCUUGAUAUAUAUAGGGAAGUGAAAUUUACGCUUCAUAUUUUACAAUUCACACGCUUUCUUUUUAUUUUUAGGUAAAGUUUUCACAAAAAGACAAAACACAUGUCACUAAAGACAAAAUUUAAAUUACCAAAAAAGGAAAGUGAGACUGUAGAUUGUAAAAUUAGAAGUGUAAAUUUCACUUUUCUAUAUAUACUUGAAAUAUGUAUAGUUUGUUCUAGGAUAUUCUCUAUGUGUGCCUUGGUCUUAUGCCAAUAGGAUAUGUAGUUAGACUAGAUCUAUGUAUUCAUAUCCUUACCAUAUUGGUAUUGUGUAAUUCCCUAUAUAAAGGGCUCAUAUCAAUGAAUAAGAUGAUGAUUCUCUUGCUAUCUCUUUGUCUCUACCACUUUAUACUUCAUCACGUUAUCAUGCACUUUGUUCUAACCCUAGAGCCAAUAGCCCACAAUUUUUUUUCUGAACCCUAAAAACCAAAACCCUAAAAUCGGGCAGCCUUGUUUUUCCCGAUUUCCGACCAAAAUUCCGACUGUCCUCCACCGGAAUUUUAUAUCCCCAGAAAGCUCUCUCCGUCCCGGAUCCAACGCCGCCGGUCUCACCCUGAGAACUGGCCAAAAAGUCUCCGAACCGGCCGUCUGAAGAUUCCAGACCGCCGCCGCUACCGACCACCGGUUCACCACCUUUCCUUGCUCCGAUCAACCUGAAAUUUUGACAGCAGCUUCCCCAUCCAGAGCUGCUCCUCCUAUCAAAUUUUCAGCCCCAAAUUCGAAGUAUAAGUAGGCGAAACGUUAUUUCUCCUCUCGGCAGCCUCUAGAAAGGUAUGUUUUUUGAAACCUUAAACUUUUCCAAGUUCAAUAACUCGGGGAGGAUAAAAUCCUUUCCUCCCUUCUCCAUCUCCAUUCUAUGCUUGGGANNNNNNNNNNNNNNNNNNNNNNNNNNNNNNNNNNNNNNNNNNNNNNNNNNNNNNNNNNNNNNNNNNNNNNNNNNNNNNNNNNNNNNNNNNNNNNNNNNNNNNNNNNNNNNNNNNNNNNNNNNNNNNNNNNNNNNNNNNNNNNNNNNNNNNNNNNNNNNNNNNNNNNNNNNNNNNNNNNNNNNNNNNNNNNNNNNNNNNNNNNNNNNNNNNNNNNNNNNNNNNNNNNNNNNNNNNNNNNNNNNNNNNNNNNNNNNNNNNNNNNNNNNNNNNNNNNNNNNNNNNNNNNNNNNNNNNNNNNNNNNNNNNNCGAUGAUCUUUUGUGGCAUCAUGAUCCAUAAUCUUUAGCGGAUUCGAUCAUCAUCAAGUUCUCUAGGUUCUCCAAGUUGGUGUGGAAUUACCAACGAGACUUGAUUUUGAUCAUACAAACAGGAAUUGUAUAUACGCUAAUGUGAUAAACUUAUUUGAGAUUAUCCCCUAAUGUGGGGACAACAAUAUGGGUCAUGGCAACGGCAGAAACGUCGUGCCGAUGUCUAGAAAAGAGGGGGAGGUGUUGCCGGCUCUAAUAGCGACACUCCCGGUCUAGACACCAUUUUGUCAAAACUACUCACGUCAGCUCAUGACAUUAAUGCAACCGUUGUGGAUCUUCGGAUCGCUGGUUCAAGAUUGUCAAGCUCCUUUAAAUUGUGAAUGCAUACAAAAAUGUAUGGAAAAUCAAUAUGAGGACAAGAACGUCAUCCUCAUGAUCGCGCAUUUCAAAGAUUUGGAUCCUGCUCUAGCUACCCAUGACUUUGAUGUCAUCGGCUAGACAUUGAUUUUCGUUCCAAGUUAUAUGUACUAAGGCGUUGUAUCGACGUUCUUUGUCUAUUUGAGACCUCGAUGUACUCACAUUAGCAAUAAUGAAUUCCUUGAGAAUUUUUCGAAGUGAAACUAUUCUCCUCUUAUGGUUCAUAUUGAUUUACAAUCAAGAUGUACACUUACAUCGUCCUUAGAAACAUGACAUAUUGUGCCGAUUUUGGUCAUUUCUUUUGAAGGUGACUCAUGGCACUGCAUCCUCAAGGAGGAUCGCCCACGUGUUUCCGGUUAAGUCUUCUACCCUAUAGCGGAUUUUUCAUCAUCAAUUGUUCAACUAGGCUCAUCCAAGCUCAGUGUGAUGUCUUAGAAUUGUCCGAAAUUAAGGAGAUAGUGGUUUUAAGUGUGCCUCGCACUACCGACCCUCCACGGACAUGCCUGGUCAUACUGACUUGGAGUUACCGAAAGCUUUUGAUUUUGGAUCCCCUUACGCUAUUAAACCAAUUGCCGUCUUGCAAAAGACGUUGAAGACUUAUCAAAGCUGGAAAAUUAUCAUCAUAAUCGGAUCUUCUAGGUCCUCUGAGUUAGUUUAUGUUCAUGUCAGGGAGCUUUUGCUGACUAGUCAUGGAGUUUACGACCUUAGAACGAUCGAAAGGACUUGGUUUUGAUCAUACACACGUCAAUUUUGGCUAAGGAAAAAGCCUACACGCCACCUGCAAGCUUCACAGCUUCGCACAUGCCAAAUCUGCGAAAAACAGCAAUCUGUCCCUUUUGGACAGUCAACUUCGUUUGAGCUUUGUGGACAGCUCCGGACGAACCAGACAGUGAGCUUUAUAUCAUUGGAAAGCUCUAUGAGUCUAGUUUUCAUAACUUUUCACGGUUUGUCCAUAUCUAUUUUAACGAAGAAGUUAUGGCUGUUUUAGUGCGCAAAGGUCAUUCUGCGAGAAAAUUUUUCUACACUCUCAGGAUUGCAGCUUUUCGUAGCUUCUUUCAAUCCUUCUAAAUGGUUCAAGUAGAACUAUUUACUCGCCUAUCUACUCCUUGUAGUUAUGUCUCAUAGAGACAUUGAGUGCUUCGCAGAUAGUGGAACUAUCCACAACAUUCUAUGGAACCAUGUUGAGCUUUAAAGACAUUCAUGCUAAUGGUUUUCAUUUGAAAACACAUUGUGAGAAUGAACAAGAAUUCUUUUGUGUAUACCUUCUCAUGAAUGCGAACUGAAGCGCAUCUUGGAGAAAUUCAUGAGUCAUUUUAGUGAACUGUAUGUCACUACGAUUCGAAUAUCGAAUCCCAUGUUGUCGCCAAACAUGAUAAUUGGGACACCGACUCAUAUAGGCUUUGGUUUGACCAAAUUGGUAAACCUGGAAGAGAUAUAAUGGUCCAAAUUUUGAGAAAUUCUCAUGGACAUCCAUUCUUCCGCUCAAAACGAAGACAUUCGAGAUCUAGCAUCACCAUGAAGCAUGGUGGUGACCCGGGGGACAUUGACGUCACCUGAACACGACUCCAACUUCCUAGAGGUCGUUCGGUCAAUUUCUCAAGCAAUUGAGAUGCACCGGUCUUUCCUCGAUGUUGCAUUGGCCCCCUGCAAUGCUCAUUGCUCGUUUUGAAAGCCUAUUCUUUAGCUAAAUAAGGAGUGAGACCCUCCUACGCUAAAUAACACAAAAGUGAACAUUCUAUUCUUACAUCAAACUAUGUAGAUAGAUACAACCAACUUGCGGACACCUUUUUAUGUUUUAUGGUGUUGGUUGAAGUGUUAACACACUGGUCACGUGUUACACUAUUAUCUACUGUUUAUACUGCUUAUACUUCUACGGGCUCACUACCCAUUCUUUAAAGAAGUUUAUCGGGAUGUAAGUUGAAGUGUCCUGUACCCCAUGUUCACACGCAAUACGGUCUCACCGAGGCUACGACUAAGCAACUUUAGCUUGUCGCUCGAACAUUAUUGAUGCGCACCAAUCUUUCUAUUGCGUCUUGGGGCUAUGCAAUAUUUGCAUGCAGCUUUACUAUUCAUCUACGACCCACCAUCAUUGAAUUUUGUUGUACUACAGCUCGUGACUGUGUACCAGGAUUGACACGAAAUUGCAAUCCUUGAGCUCGGCAAGAUUGAAACGGAUCUCCAAUCCUUAAGCUCAGCUAGAUGUUAUUUCUAGGUGCCAAAUCGCAUUGCCACUGCGUACAAUGAUGGGUCAUUUGAGAUGAAUAAGUUUAGGUUGGAUAUGAACCUCCACCUAUAAUCCGCAUAUGUAGAAACCUUGUCAGGCGAUCUCAUUCACCGCUAAAUUGCGGAUUGUCACUUUGAUGAGACAAUAUUCCAGCCGUUAGGGGGAGAUAAGAACACAAGUGUUCAAGUGGAACGACGUGAAUUGUAUUGGUUUGUCCCCACUAAGUCUCAUCUUGAUCUCAAAUGCUUAAAGUGUUAAAGUGACGAGAUCACAUGCUGCAAAUAUGUCUGCAAUAUGUCUACAAGGAUUGAUGUCCUACAAAAAGACAUGGCACGACCAAAAGGUGUUGGUCUUAACCCCAUCACCAUGGAUGGUGAUAUGGUGACGCCAUAUAGUGGCAAAAUUGGUGUCAUAAGGCCGUGUGGCUCCCUAAAAGGAGGGAGGCCCUUAGGUUCGAUAUUUUCUCGCACUAGGAAGAAAGCGAGAUUGGCACAACCUGAUCCAUUAAUCAAUGAUACUCAAAUCCGUCUCAUGAAGUCUGAAUUGUGAUUAUCGUUGGAGGACGCCUCAAUGUCAAAUCCAAUCCAUAUAGAGAUCUCUACAAGUAUUACACUAGUGUACAUGAGGACGUGAGAUAAUGAGUCUACUAUCAAACCACUCUUCGUUGAUGGAUUUCAACUUAGUUGAUUGACCUAAUGGAAAGAUGCGAUCCAGCAUUAACAAAGAGAUAGGUCCUUGAGUAGGUGAUGCCGACACCGCAAGCUAAACCCUAUCAACUAUGCAUUUGUUAGAUAGCGUAGUGAAAGUAAGAGCUUAGACUCACCUUAUGGCGCAAGGUCUUUCACUAACACGCACUGGGAUCAACUACGAUGAGAUAUGCUCUCGUAAUGGAUGUCAUUGAACUCCACUACUUUGUCAGUUUGGUAGUUUCCGAAUAACUGAACAUGCAGCCUAUGAAUGUGGUCAUAAUAAUAUCUCUAUGGGAUCAGAGAUAUACAUGAAGAUCUUAAACGGACUUCAUUCAUCCGAAAUCAAGUGGCUCCAAACUACAGGAGCAUGCGUUUGCUAAAUGUAUUGAAACGCACAUGGACUCUACUUGAUUUGGAAGGGAUAUGGUGAAUUAUGCCUUUGCGUGUUCAUUCCGGAUUUACAUGGACUCUUGAUGGAUCUAGAGAUGCCAAUAUGUAUCAACAUCCGAAGAAAAAGAUCUUGGGAAGACAUGGUCUCGAUAAGGCACUCGAUGACUGUAUUGAUGAUGACUUUCCAUCAAUCGACUUAGGCGCUCUAUAACUAGUGAGGCCUACAUAUACUCCCAUGAUUAGUCAAGGUCUUUACUUUAAAGAGAGAUCCGUUGUUUGUCUAAAGCAAGAUGACAAAUAUGUGUUUAAAGAGAUGGAGUUUCCCAUCUAAGUACAAUAAGACGCAUCAAUGUACUCAACACAAUACGAAAACUUGACAUCUCAUUCGCUAUAAAAAGUUGUAAAAGCUAAGUGUAGCUAUGCGCCCACGCAAUGCCAAUGUAAUGGCAGUAACUCCUUUUUCAAUACUUAAUGGUAUGAAAGGUUGAGGCUUAUUCUAUCCCUACAUAAGAAAGACACAUCAAUAGCAAAAUCAGAAUCUGCCAAGUUUCGUAGGUCAAGCUCCACGGGACUUACAGGAAACCUCACUCACUGGAAUAUGGUAAAAUUGGUACCAUUGGAAGGGUCUAUGUGUCUACUUUCCAGAGACACCAACCAUUUGAUCAUACCUAUCAUAUUGAGUGAGUUAUGGCCGUUUUCGUAAAGUAUGAUGAAUCUGUCCGAGAAUCUGAUUUUGGCAAAACAGUCAACUUCGACGGGACUUUGUGAACAGCUCUUGAUGAACCAGAAUGUGUGUAAUAUACGGUUGGAAAGCUAAAUGAGUCUAGUUUCCAAAACCGUUUACGGUUCGUUCAUAUGUAUUUCCUAGAGGAAGUUACGACUGUUCUAGUAAUUGAAGAUCAUGCUGCGCGGAAACCUGAUUUCCUGCACGAACUUAUGUUUUGAGUUCACAAGCGACCUUCUCCUCAAUAUCUAAGUGUNNNNNNNNNNNNNNNNNNNNUUUUUUGUAACUUGACGAGGUUUUUUGACGAGGCAACAGAUCAGCACCAUCGGCAUAUCAGCGCGCGGCACAAGGGGGAGUGUUCUAGGAUAUUCUCUAUGUGUGCCUUGGCCUUAUGCCAAUAUGAUAUGUAGUUAGACUAGAUCUAUGUAUUCAUAUUCUUACCAUAUUGGUAUUGUGUAAUUCCCUAUACAAAGGGCUCCUAUCAAUGAAUAAGAUGAUGAUUCUCUUGCUAUCUCUUUGUCUCUACCACUUUAUACUUCAUCAUAGUUUAAAUAUUUAACUGUGACGGAUCGUUCGUUGUAGUAUAGUUUACAUGGAAGUACAUGUUUGUCAAUACAAUAGAAAGGAAAAGCUCCCCAAUACAUUACGACUACAUAAUGAUAAUUAAUCAAAUGUGUCCCUCACUAGCUAAAAGUCUAAAACCAUAAACUCAAUUUCUUCUUAUGCAUGACGAGCAAGAAGUUGCAAAGAAAAUUGAAGACUCCAAAGAGUCUGACUUGGAGACUAGACAGCACAUAUUGUCACUGAGACAUCCCAUUAAAUGGGAACCUCCGAAAACAAAUCAAAACUAAUUAUUGAAUUCCAGAAAUAAUAAUGCUAAUCAUGUGUGAUGAGAAACCGAUUUAAUUAUACCCAAAGAGAUAAGGGGUCCUAAAUUUUUUGGUGAUGAUAAACUCCCCCAAAGCAGUAGUUGGUCUAGGAUCACGAGCUUUUCCCACCCCUUUAUAACUGGGUCUCUUUAUUUAGGAUAGUUUCCUUCUGAUGGAGGACACCAAUAUGGCACUUAACCAUUGGCCAAAACUCAAUUAAAAGUUGAAUUAUCUUCUUGGCUACAUUAUUUUUAGCUUCCAUUGGUUGUAUAAGAUCCCUACAUGACUUGGAAAUGUUCUUUCUUUUGAGUUUUACCUAUAUUAAUAACAAUUUUCUUCAUUUGGGAAUUGGAAUUUGAGAUUUGGGACCUCUUAUAUUUUUUCAUAGUUGGAAUUUUAAGAAUGUGGAUGUGAAUUUUUGCAUAAGCAUUUUGUUAUUUUGUGGUUGAAAUUGUUCCUUUUUGCAUAAUUUGCUCCAGUAAUAUAUGUGGAAAAAGCAAUCUAGUACGUUAUGGUAGAACAUUCAAUUGCUGCCAAAUUUAGAAAAGGCUGACGGUAGCGUACCACCCUGCUCUGAUUCCAUAUGUACCCAAAUUCUGGUCAUCUCAUACCAAAAGAAGGGACAAUCUCUUAUGUGGUUAUGAUUUUUUUAUUUAUUAUUAUUAUUUUUUUUUAUCAAAAUGGUUAUAAACUACCACAGCCCGUAAGGAAAAAAAAUGAUUAUACACUUUUUUGGAUGUAAAAUGAUUAUAAACUUUUUUUGGAUACAAAAUGAUUAUAAACUUUUGGUAGCACUCACAUUCUCAUAGUAUCAAAAUCAUAAAGAAGUCUUCUUUUUUUUUUGCUCGAGUCUUGACCUCAAUAAAAUGAAACAAAAUAGAUAACGAAUUAAACAUGAUCGUUAAGUUCAAACUAAACUGUUCUAUAAUGAAAGUUUAAGAAUCUUGGACGAGAUAAAUUAAUAGAAAAUAAAUUAGUUUGGCUAGAGACAAAUACAAUAGUCGAAUAUACAUUUGGGCGAAUUAUGGUGUUGGAUAAUCAAAUCUAUAUCCAUUAAGAUUAAUCAAGUUAAUAUUAUUCAUCAUAAUUUUGAAGAAACACCAGGUCCAUCUAAAUUUGUCUCGUCUAAGCAUCGUCUUCCACCUUGACUCGCAGUAUGAAGAGUGCUCCUAACAAUGGAGAGAGUGAAGACCCUUUCGCUUACGUCCAACUAGGUACAAAAAAUACAUGAACCAGUAAACUCCCUCCUGGGGCAAUUUGAUCAAAAGAGAAUAGAGGAAUGUCACUCUAAAUCAUUUUGUGGGUUGACACAUUGCUCGAAAAAAAUAGGCCUAAUCACUUACGAAAUCACCCACAUCUUUUUUUUUAUGGUUUUGAUCGACUAUAGAUUAUUACUUAAGAGGUCCAACGGAUUCAGGUAAUCGUCAUUGGGCCGAGUUAUUACUAUUGAUUAUUUAGUGAUUUGGUGUUAUUGAUCGAAUUAAUAUGAAUAUCGAUAUUUGAACAAAAUUACAAUAAGCGGAAUUUAAACUAAUGUUGAGAUUCAUAAUUACUGAUCAAUACAAUUGUUAAGUUCCGUGUAGUUCUCGAAAAAGAAACUUGAUAAGCAUACAAAAUCUUACGUAAGUUAUCUAUGCACGUUUGCAUGUUUGUCGGACUUUGAUUACGUAAUGACUUAUUAUCAAAUUAUGGUUUUUAACAUUAAUGGAAACAAGACUCUUUUAAGAAACCACAUAUUCGAGAUAAUUGAUUACAUCAAUAAGUAUAAUCAUCGGUUAAUAAAGUAAUAAUCACAUUGAUGUUGUUCAACUUCGUAAAUUUUCAUUUUCAUUUAAAGACACCGUUUCAAAAAACGAAACUACAAGAGUUUUAACACAAAAUGUCUCUAUUCAACAGUGUCAUUCUUACCAAACUCUGAUAUUUUACUUGUUUUCAACCACAGGCAACAAAAGAAAGUGUACAGAAAAUGGAAAUAAAUUUGGCAAAUUAGGAGACACAGAAUUCCAUAAAAGAGUAGGAAAAUGUUUAAAUGCCCCUUUGGACCUUUCCAUGCACAUUUAUUUCUAUAUUUUCUCUAAAAUCCAAUAUAAAAAGAACACAUUUUUGUGAACCUUUUCCUCAUCCCCUUACUUUCACUACUGUCUGUCUUCCUUUCUCUCUCUUCAAGAUGGCCUUGAUAGCCCACCCAUAACUCUCUCUCUCUCUCUCUCUCUCUCUCUCUCUCUCUCUCUCCAGUACGAUAUAAUUGUGUGCAUAAAAUAUAUAAGCUUUGUGGGUUUUUGUUUUGAGGUCCUAUGAGAUCUACUGCUUGUGUAAGACUUGGUUUAGAUAAAGAUUGGCAGAGGAACUGAACACAAACAAUAUAAGAGAAAAGGAAAGCUCAGAACCUCAGAGGAAGGUAAGCUUAGCAUUCCAAAACCCUUAAAACCAAUCCUACUCAUAAAGUUGUAACCUUUAUAUGUGCUUUUGACUUGAUUGAUCAUUUUGAUUGAACCCCAUAUGCAUCAUCAUCCUUGGUAUUCGUGUAAAUGGUCUUUUGGGUUUCUGCUUCUUUGGAUGCUUCAGAUCCAUGGCGAUGGAUUCUGGUAAAUUUCUCAGCACCCAGAUUCUGAAGGGUUUUGGUUUUUCUUUGAACUUCACCUUCUAUUAAAGUUUAAACCUUUAUCUGCCUCUUGUUUGUGGUUUGGAGUCGUUUUUUCAUUUUGGAAUGCUGGGCAAAGAUAUGAGGUGGGUUUUUGCAGUUCUUAUGGGAAUAGUUUUUGGCAUUUAAUUUGUUGCUGUUAGGCCCUUGUUACUGAAGUUUGAAUAUUCUCUUUACCAGUUUCUCUGCUGAUCAAAAUUUUGAGGAAGAUAGCAUAAGCAAGUUUUCUACAUGGAGUUCAUUGCUGUUAAUGUGCUUAAUACAAAAUGUAAAUGAACUUGCUUGACUACUAUUAUGGCUGUCUUAAAUUUUUGAUUUUUUCAUAGAAAUAGGCAGCUAAAAUGCAUUGAUAUUGAUUUUUGCCCUGUUUUUUGGGUGUAUCAGACUAAUGCUGUUUUUCUGAAUCAGGAUUGGAGGUCAGAGGCAGGGUAUCAAGUCAUUGGACUAGUCAAAGUUUGUUGAGUUUUUGUUAGUUGUGCUUUCUAAUUGCCAGUAGCUUCAUAGGGAUUGGAUUGACCCUCUAACUAUACUGAGAAGAUAGAAGAGAACUUUAUGGGUUAACAUUCUACUCUGCAAUGACAUCUAAUUUCGGGAACAUCAGGUUAGUAUCUGAUGAUCACAGUUGGUGCUUAAAGAUGGGUAUGUAGUAGUCAUGUCAAAAGAAGUUAGAUCUGAUAUGGUGUAUUGGAGUAGAUUGCCCGGCCACCUUAUCAGAAGCUUUAUUGGAUGUACUUUCUUUUAGGCAUUUUUGUUAUCCAGAGACAUCAGCCUCGUUCAUGUCAGCAGUGUCUUGUCACAUGUGUCGGAACACUGAGAACCUCAAAAUGGGAUUAACGGUUGUACAGUUUAUCUAGGGUUGUAGUCAAUUGGUGAUCCUGUGGCUUGAAAGUGUUUAUUUCUAGUCCUCCUAUAUUAAUUCUUACGCCCUCAUCAUUCCUCUUCUUUGGUGUCCCCAAAUUCGAGGCCCUCUUCCCUGUUGUGCUCCUGUCACUCUUCAUCUAUCUCAUCGUUGAAUUUCUUCCAUCUUUCCUUUUCUUCACAAGGAGCGACUAGCUCAGUUGGCAGUUCUAGUUGGUUCAAUUAUUCAGGAAGUCACUCUGCAAGCAGAACAGUUCCAUCUUAUUUCUGCACAAGAAAAUCAUUGCACCGCCAAUUUCGCUUGUCCUAGAGACUGAUAGCUAAUAUGGAGUCUGCUAGCUGUAUUGCUAACAAUAGACCAGGUGCUGUCCAUCAGUUGCUUCCUGUUGUUGGACCUAUGCUUCUGAUUGCAGUUGGAUAUCUUGACCCUGGAAAGUGGGCGGCAACUGUUGAAGCAGGUUCCCGAUAUGGUACUGAUCUGGCUGCAGUGAUGUUUAUAUUCAAUUUGGCUGCUAUUUUGUGUCACUAUCUGUCUGCUCGGAUUGCUGUAGUCACUGGAAGAGAUCUUGCUCAGGUACCAUUCUUUCUUAUGUAGGGUUUUGUUAAGUUGUCAUUCUUCUCAUUCUCAGUAGCAGAAGUGCUACUUGAAUGCAUACUAGCAUACACUGUCUCCUCAUUGCAUCUUCUUAAUAUAAGUCCUUGCUCUCUCUCUCUCNNNNNNNNNNNNNNNNNNNNNNNNNNNNNNNNNNNNNNNNNNNNNNNNNNNNNNNNNNNNNNNNNNNNNNNNNNNNNNNNNNNNNNNNNNNNNNNNNNNNNNNNNNNNNNNNNNNNNNNNNNNNNNNNNNNNNNNNNNNNNNNNNNNNNNNNNNNNNNUCUCUCUCUCUCACUCACUCUCUCUCUCUCUCUCUCUCUCUCUCUCUCACACACACACACACACACACAUUGUAGACAGACACUUCUACACACGAUCCUUGUUAGCUGGCAAAGUUUUUAACACUUCAUUUUCUUCUUAAUUUUAAUUAUGCCUGUAGAUUUGUAGUGAAGAGUAUGACAAGGCUACAUGCAUAUUCUUAGGCGUACAAACAGAGAUGUCGGUGAUUUUGUUGGACCUUACCAUGGUAAUUUCUCUUUCCUCGUCAGUGAUUAUCGGUAGUAUCAUUGCUGAAACAAAGUUGUAUACUCGUGUUUUAUGGUUGCUCUGUUUUUUAGAUCCUCGGUAUCGCACAUGGACUUAAUCUUCUGUUUGGGUGGGACUUGUUCACUUGUGUGUUUUUGACUGCUGCUAAUGCUGUUUUAUACCCUCUUUUUUCCACCCUCCUGGUAAGUAUCAGAACUUGCUUUCUUGUUUUACAUUACGAUUGUUUGCAUUAUUCGUUACAAAAUAAUUAACUCUCCUAUUGCAGGACACUUGCAAGGCGAAAUUCCUAUGUGUGUGCAUAUACGUUGCAGGAUUCAUACUGCUUUCCUUUGUUCUUGGAGUAUUCAUCAGUCAACCGCAAAUGCCACUUUCCAUGACUGGGAUGCUAACAAAAUUGAGUGGGGAAAGUGCUUUUUCACUGAUCGAGUCUUCUUGGAGCUAGUAUUAUNNNNNNNNNNNNNNNNNNNNUUUUUCUUGUUGCAUACUGUGUCUUUACGUCUUUUGGUUCACACAAUUUUUCAUUGCAAAAUGAGUUCAUUCAGGGAAGUCUGUUUAAUAAAUUUCCGUAAAAUGACUUCUAUUUGUUGGAAGCCUCAUAAAUUAUAUCAGUUGACUUAUUCAGUGCACUUCAUUGAGAAAGGCAGAUGUUUCCAUUUUCAAUAGUCAGUGCACUUCAAUAGAGGCAAUUGAGCCACACAAGCACAAAUCUUCUUCCUUUCUGUCUAGAGAAAAGAAAAGGUUCCACACUUCCACUUAUAAGAGAAUAUGAGAUUAUCUUGGUAGAGGUAUUGGGUGUAAAAAUAAACACUUAAAAGACAUGAGUAUCAAACUAUCCCUGUUGCACGACGAAGUUCUGUUACCACCUCACACUUCUUGUUUUUUUUUUGAACUAAACAUGUUUACGUAUAGCUGAUUUUGGUGAUGGUCAUUUCUCUCAACUUUCAUUUAUUUUAAUUCUGCAGCAGCAUCAGCAACAACAAACUGUUUCUAAGGAUACUUUGUGUCAGAACCAUUUUGUCGCCAUCUUCUGCAUGUUUAAUGGUAUUUAUUUGGUGAAUUAUGUUCUGAUGACCUUAGCAGCAAAUGCAUUCUACACUUCACGUGGUCUUCUUACUUUUCAGGAUGCAAUGUCCCUUAUUGAACAGGUUUUAAUUUCUCUCCAUGAUCACAUGCUUUUGAUGAUUUUUGUUUACGGUACUCGACUAAUCGUUCAGUACCAUGCUGGACACUCAAAUUUAAGUGCUUUUAAAUUAUGCAGGUCUUUUGGGGUCCAAUAGUUCCUGUUGCCUUCUUGCUGGUUCUCUUUUUAUCAAAUCAAAUCACAACAUUAAGCUGGAGUCUGGGUGGACAAGUAGUCUUGAAUGACUUCUUAAAACUGGACCUUCCUGGUUGGCUUCACUGUGCUACAAUCAGAAUCAUUGCUGUUGUUCCUGCUCUGUAUUUUGUUUGGAGCUCAGGAGCUGAGGGGAUGUAUCAACUGCUUGUAUCUACACAGGUGUUGGCAGCCCUGCUACUGCCAUCUUCUGUGAUCCCUCUUUUUCGUGUUGCUGCUUCAAGACAAUUAAUGGGAGCCCAUAAGAUUUCUCAGUUCGUUGAAUUUUCAGCCCUCAUUACACUUAUUGGGAUGCUUGGAUUAAAAGUUGUCUUUGUAGUGGAGAUGAUUUUUGGGAAUAGUGAUUGGGUGGAUAAUUUGAGAUGGGAUGCUGGGAGUAGUAUGUCUGUACUUCUCAUCACUGCUUCUGCAUCAUUUUGCCUGAUGAUUUGGUUGGCAGCCACACCGUUAAAAUCUGCAAGUGCUCGAAUAGAGAACCAGGUGUGGAACUGGGAUAUGCCUAAGGGUGUCUCGGAGCCAUUUAGAAAUAAGGAGACUGAUAUAGCCGAACAUAACUAUCAUAGAGAUGCAGAUAUACAGAAGCAUGAACCAUCACCAUCAUCUGGGGACGCAUUGGAUAGAGAAUUAGAUACAGCCGUUGCAAAUUUUGAUUUUGUUCUGCCUGAAACUCUCUUGGAGCCUGAUCAGGAGCUUCAACUAUCUGGUGUAGAGGAAAAUAGUUCUCUUGGUACCUUUCCUCACUCUGCCAAAUGCAGCAAGGAGGAACCCACACCUGUAGUAGAAUUAACUCGCGUCCCAACUGUGGCUAAUGAGGUUUCUGAUGUUACAGUACUGGGCACCGAUACUGUGAAAUUUGAAUCAACAGAGCAAGUUGAGAAGACUCUUGCAACUGAAGGAGACUUGCCAACUGAAAAAGAUGAUGAUGAGGGAGAUACCUGGGAACCAGAAGAUUCCUUGAAAGAGGCUUCAGAGAGCACCACGUUAACAUCUGAGGGUCCAGGAUCAUUCAGGAGUCUCAGCGCAAAAGGUGACGAAGGGGGGAGCGGUGCUGGAAGCCUCUCAAGACUAGCAGGGUUGGGCCGUGCUGCUAGACGUCAACUAGCUGCUGCACUCGAUGAGUUUUGGGGACAACUGUAUGAUUUCCAUGGGAAUGUAAUUAAAGAAGCAAGAACAAAGAAACUGGAUCUGUUGUUGGGGUCAGAUUCAAAGGCUUCUUCUGCUGCUUCCUCUGCUUCUUCCUUGCUGAAAGAUGAUACCACUGCAAAAGAAGUUUCUGGAUGCUUUCCAUCUGUAGGAGGCAAAGGAUCUGAUCCUUUAAUCAACUUGAGUUUAUAUGACUCUGUAAAUCAGCAGAGGCUGCAAAACAGUAUAGAGUCAGCAUAUGGCGCUCAAAGGGGAUCUUCCUUGUUAUGGCCCGGCCACAUGCACUUGCUGGAUGCGUAUGUCCAAAAUUCAAGCCGCAGUGUUAUUGACUUGGGUGAGAGGCGCUAUUCAAGUGUGCACAGUAUACCAUCUUCUGACUUGGGUGAGAGGCGCUAUUCCAGUGUGCGCAGUAUACCAUCUUCUGACUUGGGUGAGCGGCGCUAUUCAAGUGUGCGCAGUAUACCAACUUCUGACUUGGGUGAGAGGCGCUAUUCAAGUGUGCGGAGCAUACCAUCUGCUGAGAGCUGGGAUUACCAGCCAGCCACAGUACAUGGUUAUCAGAUGCCAUCGUAUCUUAACCGUAAUGACAGAAGUUCCAGUAACUUGAAUGGUCAAAUAGAGUCACCAGCCCUAAAUUCUGCUUCUUCAUUGGGUGCUGGAAACUACAGAGAUUCACUUGCAUUUACCAUGGGGCAGAAGUUGCAAAAUGGGUUAGGCUCUGUUCAGGCUUCCAGUUUUCAGAACCUUACAGUAUCUCGACAAAGUCCAUUGCAAUCUGAUAGACCAUAUUAUGAUGUACCCUCCUCUGGAAUUUCGGAGAAUGCGGUAAACUCAGCCAAUGCAAAGAAAUACCACAGUCUACCUGACAUUAACCGUGAUCUCUACAACUCUAGUAAAAGUGCUCCACGGGAUCCUCCUCCUGGGUUUGGGAUAAUGGGUUAUGAAUCAUCCUUGUAUCCAAAAUCUGGUGUAAGGGGGGGAGGUUCUUUGGCAUUUGAUGAAGUCUCUCCAUCUAAUGUCUAUAAAGAUGUUCGAUCAUCCCAACCGAAUUCUAAUUAUGGCACUGGAUCCCUCUGGUCUAGACAGCCUUUUGAGCAAUUUGGUGUAGCUGAUAAUAAUCGUUCUAUCGGGACUGCAGUUGGUAGUAGAGCAGGUUCUGCAGGUAUGGAAGCUACAUCAGUUGCAGAUUCAGAGGCAAAGCUUCUUCAGUCUUUUAGACACUGCAUUGUGAAGCUUUUGAAGUUGGAAGGGUCUGACUGGUUGUUUAGACAGAAUGACGGAGUGGAUGAGGAUCUAAUAGAUCGUGUGGCUGCCAGGGAGAAAAUUCUUUAUGAUGCUGAAACAAGAGAGAUUAAUCGAACAGUUCACAUGGGUGAAUCUCCAUACCCUUCUUCUGACAGGAAGUCUGCUUCUGCAAAAAUGAAUGAUGUGAAUCUCACCCAUCUCAUGGUUUCCUCGGUUCCUAAUUGUGGGGAAGGUUGUAUUUGGAGAUCUGAUCUAAUAAUAAGCUUUGGGGUCUGGUGUAUUCAUCGGAUUCUUGAUUUGUCCCUUAUGGAAAGCCGGCCAGAGCUUUGGGGGAAAUAUACAUAUGUUCUGAAUCGACUUCAGGUAAACUCUAAAGCCUUCUUCUUACUUAUGAUUCCAAUUUUUGCAAGUUGAGUAUGGUUUCUACAUAAGUUUAUUGUCUCGGUCUAGACUUAUCAACCAAUCAGAAUAAGGUUAGGAGUAGCGGUCAUGCCAACUUGAGUUUGACAAGGUAACAUCUGCAUUGGAUCCUUGAUUUAACUGUUGUGGAAAUUUGGUGGCAUUUAUUUUACUAAUCUUUUAUGAGUAAUACUCCUUCAGAAUUUAGAAUUGUCUAGAAACAAAGUUAGAUGAAAAGAGACAGGAAAGGAGAAGAAGAAAGGAGAAUAGGAAAUUGUCUAUGAUUUUGUUCUUUACAGUUGUUGGUAUCGUCUUAACAAUAGUCAUGUAUUAAGUCCCAUUGAUAGUGGCCAGUCCAACUCAGAUGAGGACCAGAUAUAACAAAAUCACCCCGAUGAAUAGAUUCCUAGAAAUUCCUUAAUAUAAAGUACUAAAUUGAGUCUAACACUCCCCCUGGACAUAAAUGUUGUUGAAGGUAAAGUGUAACCUUUCAACUUCUUAUUAGGCUUGCUGUCGUAGCUCCUUGAAUUGCAGUCUGCUACCAUAGUAUACAACUAGAUCUCCUUACUAUAUUUGUUUGUAUUUGUAUUUGCAAAGCUUGUCUUCCAAUGAUGUUUAUGACCGGUCUAUCUUUGUAAUACAGGGCAUUAUUGAUGCUGCGUUCUCUAAGCCUCGUACUCCAAUGUCUCCAUGCUUCUGCCUUCAAAUUGCAGCAGCCCAGCAGCAGAAGUCUAGUCCAACAUUUUCGAAUGGAAUGUUACCCCCUGCUGCAAAACCAGCCAGGGGAAAAUGCACGACAGCUGUAACGCUCCUGGACAUAAUCAAGGAUGUGGAGAUUGCAAUUUCAUGCCGAAAGGGCCGGACGGGCACAGCAGCUGGUGAUGUGGCUUUUCCAAAGGGAAAAGAAAACCUGGCCUCUGUCCUCAAACGCUACAAGAGGCGGCUUUCCAAUAAACCUGUUGGCACUAACGAGGGGCCUUCUGGUUCACGCAAGGGUACUGCAACAUCUGCUCCUUAUGCGUCAUAGCCUUCAAAAUUGCCUGAUCAAAUCAAAUUCUCUCGUUGUAUCAAAGCCAUAGCUGCAAAAUUGUAUUUCCUUGUAUGUCAACGUAUACAUAGGGUAAGAACUGCUGAAUCUGUAAUUGCAGCAUCAUCAAAGAAAUUGGAUAGGUCAACAAAUUGGUUAUUGCAAAUUUUUGUUUUGCUUGCUUCUAUUACUUGUUACAAUAAAAUGGAAAGUUUAAAACUGAUGGGGGAUGAUGGGGCUCCCAAUCCUAGCCUUGAGUAUGCCCUUUUAGAAAUUUGGACUGUUAAAACUAUAAACAACUUUCUCUGUGUCAAAACAUAUCCCACUGUUAGGUUCAUAGGAUCUCAAUCAAGUUUAACUCAGUGUCACCUUAAGCCUUAAGUGGUGGGAAAUAUUUGUAUGUACCAAUGUACCAUAACAGAUAUUAUGAAAACUGAUAAUUGACGCUGGGAUUAAAGAAAAGCUUAAACAGUUGGGAGCAGGUUGAUUUAUAUGGGGAAUGGACAAAAUUACAAAUGCUGGUGGAGCACGUAAAGUAAGAUAAGACAUCAUCAAAUAGUGCUCGGUGGGUGGAUAAUAACAUCAGUAACACUCCAUCAAGUGAAAACAGUCACAAAUAAUGACAAUAUAUUGACUAAACAAUCAAUAACAUUUGAGUGAACCAAAAGACGAAUCAAGCCGCAAAGAAGAAACCUAGAAAUGGUUCAGAAGACAAUUCUUACUUCAUACCGGUUAACAAUCAGUCUCACAUUUACAUUUUAAAUGUCUUGGUAAGAUACUUCCGAUUAAAUUGUAAGUUCAAUUUGAUGAAAUGAAGUAUACAACAACUGCAUUGUGAGAUUUUUUUUUAAUGCUGAUGCUCUUAUUGCAUAUGUUUUCUUAUUUCUCGAUGUACAUCGUCUCUUUGUAUUUUUUUGAUUAUAAGUUUUGAUUAUAAUAGAAUGAUGACAUUUUCCAUAAAAAAUAAAAAAAAACACAUCAACGAGUCUAUUAUGAGCAUAUUAUCACUACAAUAAAUAGAAAUAGGUAGUUUGUGAGAUUGUUUUUUUAUCAAACAAAUAACUGAAUGUUAUAACGAGUCUAUCGACUCACGACCUCCACUUACAUAGGGAAACAUAUGCCACUAUACCAAAUAAACUAGGCACUUUGUGAGACUUUUAGUUUAAUUUUUAUGCAUAUUUAUCUAUUUUAUUGCCAAUAAUUUCUAAAUUUAAUUUGGUAGCAAGUAGUAACUCAAUUUGUGGAGCUAAGAAAUAAUUUUGGACCUAAGAAUGGACUCGUCAUUCACAAGUGACCAAUAAAAUAGUAACAAGUAUUUAGCAUCCAAGGUCAUAGCGUGGCCAUGUGGACAGUUUAUAGGCCUUCUCAUCAUUACAUUUUAUCGUCUCCGACAUUUCUCUCCAGAUUAGACUCUGCUCUCUCUUGUACUCUACAGCUGAGCUGUACUUGCUUCGUUUGGAAAACAAAGGCACUCCCAAGACCAAGAGGUAACCAAGUAUUAGCUCGAUCGUAUUUAUUUCUCAGUUUGAUGGAUUAGUUAGAUAUACAAUACCUACUUGAUUUUCUUUUUCAUUAGCUUGAUUACAAACAUGGAUCCAUGGUUUGUUUGUUAGCCUGAAAAUCAGAGUUGGAAAAUGGGAUUUGUAAUGGUGAUAUCGUUGCCGGUGAUACUGUUCAUCUUGAUCGUAGCUCUUGCCUUUUACCUUCUUGGCAGGGCAGAUGGCCGGAGAGAAGCAGUUCUUGUUGGACCUCCGGUUCCGGCGCCUCCGUUCCAACCCCAGGAGAAGCCAUCCGAGCAGGUCUAGGGUAUCAAUCAAUAUCCUUUGGAAUGAAUUGUUAAUUUCUCUGUUGUAGACUUGCAGUAAAUACCUAGUUCAGUCCCUUGCUUGUUAUAUAUAUUUCAUCAAGAUGAAUAGAUGAUGUGCAAACUGCAAAUUAAGUGGUUGUGUACUUUCUGUUCAAGUAUGAUAUUAAAUCUAAUUGUUUAGGGAUAUGAAUCAUAUGAUCAUAUGAACAAGAAUGAAGCUUGUUUCAUUUUAUUUGCCGUUACUCUCCAUGAAUUGAGACAAUGCGGUUGAAACAUCGGUAUUUUUUUUUUUUUUUUUUUUUUUUUUUUUUAACAAUCAAUCACUGAUAGUCAAUAAUUUUCGAACCAGAGUGACUUGUAUAUAACAUUCCGCUGUCAUUGGUUUUGGGGUCGAUUCUGUAAAAGAUGAAAUCAGUAAAUGGACCACGAUGAUACAUAGGGGUAGACCACUCAUAAAUAUCUAAUGUUCAUUUCAAAGCAAGCUUAUAAUCUAGUUAUGAAAAUGCAUAUCAAAUCAACAACCUAGCUAGGAAUCUAUUAUCUAGUCGAAUUAGGAAUGUGUAUCGUCCCUCCAGGAAUUACUUAUUAGAUUACAUAUAGGAGUCUCUAAACAACAGUUGAAAAUUAUUGAAAUAAAGAGCUACUAAACAUUCUACAAGCUUAGGGGAAAAAAUCCCUGGCCCAUAUCACCAAGCUCAAAGGGCCAAAGGACUGGACAAUACAGCAUAGCAUAAUACAUGUGCCCUUUGUUAAAAGAUGAGAAAGAUGGAAUCCGGUUUAGGGUUUAAGAGAGGAAAAGGAAGGUGGUGGAGUCAUGGCGGGCAUUGGUAAAUUGUUUUUGCCGGAAGAUAUCGUGGUGCAAAUCCUGAUACGACUGCCUCCUAAAUCUUUGAUGCGAUUCCAGUGCACCUGCAAGGUGUGGAAGGAACUGAUCAGCAGUACAAGCUUCAUCGCCAAACACCUUUACAUGUCUAGGCACAGCAAACUCGCCUCCUCUCCUCCCAUCCUUUUCAAGCGUCAUUUUUCAGACGACUGCAAAAUCAACAUUCAGAAUGAAAUGGGUUAUCCCUUCUAUCACACGAUUCGCGAGGUUGAAACACGACUCUCAAUAUAUGAUGAUGAUCACCUUCAUUUACCUGUUCUUGAUGAUAUUGAUGUUCCCCUUCCUAAGGUUGACUGUGAAGAUAGUGAUCCGUUGACUGUGAAGAUUUCCGGUCAUUGUGAUGGGAUUGUUUGUCUACAAGUUUACCUUGGUAACUUUAUGAUCGCUGGUAAUGCCAUAUUAUGCAAUCCGGGACUCAACGACUUCAAGCUUCUUCCCAAGUCUUGUGUUCUUCCUGACCUCAAGGACGCUGAUCAGGUCUCAUGCUUUGACGCAACGUAUUGGACAGAUUGUUUGGGGUUCGGGUAUGAUUCAAAAGGUAACGAUUACAAAGUCGUUAGGGUUCUAAUUUAUAACGACUCUCAUAUCUACGAUUAUAGAGCAGAGGUAUACACCAUGCGUUCUAAUUCUUGGAGAGAGGUCGAUUUUGGUAGAGAAUUAUCUAUUGACGACACAAAUGAUAGCAAGUCUCAUUUCUUAUUGAACGGAACUUAUUAUUGGCUGCAAUGGUCUCCAGUCAUCCUUUCAUUCAAUAUGGCUGACGAGGUAUUUGAUGAGAUACCGCUUCCAGAUAUAUCAUAUGAUGAUGAUCUCCCACAUAUCAAUAUUAUGCUAAUUGCAGCGUGCAAAGAAUCCAUUGCUCUAUUCACAUUUCAUGAUGAUGAUCUUCGUCAUCGUCCUGUUAGAUCUUUUGAUAUGUGGCUACUGAACGACUUGAAUGGUGUCGAGAGACUAUGGACCAAACAGUUCACCAUUGAAUGCGCAGAACUCAUAUGCAGCCCAUUGAUAUUUCGGGAGAGUGACGAGCUUCUUAUUGUUGCAGCUGAUGGACGUCUAAUCUGCUAUAACACCAGCACCCGAACGUUCAAGGAUUUGCCUAUUACGCGACGCUGGUCAUGCGAAACAUACAGUCAAGCAGUUCUUUACGCAAGUAGUAUUGUUGGGGUCAAUGGAGGAAGUAAACUUGAAGGCAUAGAUCGUUCCGCUUUCUACAACGUUGCUCAAUAUGUAUUAUGCACAUGCACUUCGUAUCAUGGACGACUGAAUGAGAUAUCUACAAUAUGCGGUGGUAAGUGGUAAGCCGUGACCUGGUUAGUUAGGUAGCCUAAUUGAGAACAUUUGAAAUUAUGGCAUGGGUUCAAAUCUCAUCAUGAUAUGUACAAUAUGUCACGAUGAUGAACAUUAAGUGUACACAAUUUUUCAUCUAUCUGUUAUUGAAGGAGAUUCCCGCAGACUUGGGGUCAAGCAAUACCCUGCAAGCAGAAGCUAGACGAUAGGAUGCAGGUUAACAAAACAACUGUUGUUCAAGCAGCUACAAGUAUUCACUCAUUGAAGGAGAUUCGACUUUGAUCACAAGCCAUCUCGACUACAUCAGCAUCUCAACUUCCCCUCCCUGGAGAGUGGAGAAUGAAGACAAAUAUAGCUAAAAUAAGUUUCUCCCUAGGAUGAUGUUCCUUUUGGGUUUGAUGUUGAUUAGAUUUCCCUGUACUUUUUUUCUUCUAGAUCUCUUAAUGCAACUUUGUUUGUCUCCACAAGAAGAAAAAACAAAAACAGAUGCAACAUUAUUUCUUCCCCAAUGACGUUUCCUCUUUUCUUUUCUCAUCCUUUCUCGUAUGUAUGCAACUCCAAUCGGAUGUUUCUCUCUUACUAGUUUGUUUUCUCUAUAUAAAGACAUAACAUCUGAUCUUCAAUCAAUCAAUUCAUCAAUAUUAAUGAAACUCAUAAAUCGAGCUAAUUAAUUUUACAUCCCAAAACUUUUCAUAAAUCGAGCUGUUGAAUAUUCAUAAUUGAGCCUGUUUAUGGGUGUCAGUCGUGUCACUGAAACUCCAAAUUCUACGAAGGUUACUGCUAGCUCCAACUAUUGAGAAGACCACUGCACCAAUUGUUGUUGAGCAAGUCAUUGCUUCAAUAGUAUAGGAGGUAAAGCAAAACAUCCCAAGCCUGAGCUCUCAAAGUAAUAUUAAUGUCAAUAUUUCCAUUGGUAAUGGCUUUUAAGAUUCUUGCUAAAAUGCAGCACGGUGAGAGCAUUGUUGCAAAUGAGCAACAGACAGUUGGAGAGCGCAUCGAUACUUUGUUUGACGAUUAUCAGACCAAGUUAAGUUGGGGUGAAGAUCUUCGAAUUUUGUUCUAGAACUCCUCGGCUAUCUCUCAGGAGUUUGAUGCCUUUGUCAGGUAUAUAUGAGCCUCAUGGCUUGAUUGUUCCAAUUAAACCCCUUCGAAAAUAAGGAAAACAGUAAACAUUGACAUCAUAGUGCUUAGCAUCAUAAUCAUGUAACGCAUGCUAGUUAACAUGGAUGAUGGGUUAAUUAGAGCUGUAUCUCUUUGAUGAAAAUCUUUUGAAAAUAUCUCCAUUAGCUAGUCCAUCACAUCUGAGUGACAAAUCGUCCAGAUAUAUUGGUUACAUGUAUAUAUCUCCUUUCCAGUUUCAGCCCCUAUCAAUAUCUGUGGGCUUGCUGUAUAGCUAUCAACAACGUAUACACAUCGACGUUGAACAAAUUGAUCGAUCACAGCAGAGGCUUCUCUAAACCACAUAAUCGAAUUAAUUAGGUAUAGGAAGAACGGAUUGGACGAUCGAGUCUGUAGGGCGUAGUGUUUGGCCAAGUAGCUAAGACAAAAUAAAUGGGGUGAGGGAACUUGACCUGUGUUCUUGGUCUUGUUGAGAGCCAUAUCUGCAUCCAUCCAUGAAUAAUGUAAGGUGAAGAAACGAAAUAAGCUGCUAGCUUGCUAGCUUGACCCAACAGAUCAGACUGUUCUGUGUAACUAGUCACGUGCUAUCGACCCCCAAGACCUUGUUUGGUUUGCAAGUAAUGGUAGGCAAGGCUGCCAAACCACGUGACCCAUGCAUAUAUAGUCGACCUUGCAUGCAUGGCUUCCAAAUCUACCACUCCUUUCUCCUAGCUUUGGUCCUAGCUAUUUCCCAAUUCCUAAAUUCCUUUUGGCUAUUUCUCUCACUAUAUCCAGUUCGGUUCUUGUGUUCAUGGGGAAGAUAGCGAUCGAUGUGCGAGGCUCACACUAUGUAUUAAAACUAAAUAGAAAAAGGAGGGACUUCUUGCGGAAGUGGCGGAGCCAGGACUAAAUUGUUACCGGGGCUAAUUGUAACACUAAAAAAUUUUUAACGAAUUUUGACGUAUUGUGCGAGAAAUUUUUACAAAAAAUCUAACUAAAUCUUAUAAAACGAGACCGCAAAACUUCAAUCGUAUCAGGUUUGUAAGAUGCAACGGGAUUUGAGAGAUCUAUAGUUAACUUUUAUCAAACAUAAUAACUUUUAGUCAAACUCACACAUAAAUAUAAUAACAAAAAAGUUGUAUAUUUCAACUAUAGAUGUCUCUCUCUAUUCAUCUUCGUCUCUCUCUUCCCAAACAAUUCUCAGUCACCAUACUCAGAGUCUCUUCACUAGAGCCUUCAACCUUGUCUCUCAAAGACUCAAACACCAACUUACCCCAAAAUCUCAUCGAAACCCAAUCACCAUAACUCCAUAAGUAAUCCCAGCAGACUCAUUCUUUCUCUUUCUCUUCUGAGUGAUGGUGCUAGAGAGAGAAACUAAAUCAUGACUAGAUCCUUCACCAAUGAGCAAACCUAACCUGAUUAAUUCACCCAUUAUCAGCCACAGUUACCUACGGCUAUAGCUUCGUCUUGACGAUCCCGACCCGGUGACUUCAAACUUCAAUUUAUGAAACAGAAUUCAUAUUAUGUAUCUAGUAUGGAAUCUGCCAAAGAAUAAACAUUUUGCAUUUGAGCAUGGUGUAAAUUUUUUUCCAGGCUUUAGAUUCUCACCUAGGCUCCAGCCCAGUCUUGACUGAGUUGGCUCGGCCACUAGUCUCAUGAUCACAAAAGGUAUAGAGCUAGUGUUUAUGUGUAACCGGUUAAGCAUAAACACUAGCGCUCCAGAUAACAGUCAUUGCAGUAAUAAUGCUACUCUUGUCAGAUUUUGUAUACUCGAAUAAUGUACGAAGUGUAUAUACGACAUUUACAAAAUUCUUUUUUUUUUUUAAGGAAUUUAUAAAGAAUAUAUACAAAAUUAAUAGUUCAAUGAGAUUAAAACAUGGAACAUAUAUACCGUAUAUCAAUCGAGAAUUUUAUAAUAUGUCAACCUAUAUAUGUGACAAAAACAAUGAUCACAUUUUUGACUUAAUUUUUGAUGAGAACUUUAUUACCUUAUUAACAAUGAUAUUUCUUAGUUAUCACAUGAGUUAUGGAACAGAUAAGAAUCAUGUGCUAUCUACUUAGGUGGUAAAUAUAACAGGCAUGAGAAAUGUUAACAUCAGGUUUAAUUUUGUGCUCUUUUUUCUUCUUGAGGUAAUAUUAGCAUAUACCUUUAGAUUUUAAUAAUAUCAAUUUGACCGAUGAAAACAACUAAUAGUAUUAGCAGUGUAAACCAUUUUGUGUUCAUAUCAACUCGCAUGCGUAGACUACUUGGCGUCCAUAUCAUUCGAUGUAUGGUGGUAAGUAGAGUUUGUGGAAGAGAUGGUGUGAUGCAUGCUUUGUUAUGAGGUUGGUUUUGGUAGGUAGCUUUAUUUAUAACAUUAUGGAAAUAAUCCAGCUUGUUUAAUACAACUACUCAACUACGUAUUACUUACUAUUCAACUAUCCUGCUUAUUUAGUGAAAUCUGGAUAGCAAAUAUUCUGAAUGUGCAAUCUAUAAACUGUCUUGUUUAGUGGUGAUGGUCAUGUGACUGUUCGCGUUCAUGUUUCUUGGCGAAACAGUGGAAUAAUCCGGUAAUUAUUAGGAUACCUUACAUGAGUGUAUGUUACCUAAUCUAACUAACGCUAACACUCAAAAUCAAAAAAUAAAAAAUAAAAAAUAAAUAAAUAUCUGUAUGUACUUACACAAGUACUAGAUAAUACCAGAGCUCCACAACCACAAUGGAAAAGGUCAAUGCUAGUAAGGAGAUUUAGGCUUAUCCAAUAGGAAGAUGCAUAAACUCUAACACGUAUAUGUUCUAAAUUCCAUAUAUCCAUUUUCCAAAUCCUAAUGAGUUGCAGUUCAAAAAAGAAAAAGAAAAAACCCCAAUUAAGGUUGUAAUUAUAAAUCAAUCCGAACUUAUUACUCAUGAAUUGACAUUUGGGAGUAGGCCAUACUCUGAAGCUAAUAUCGGGAUCAUAUUCAUUAAGAAAGCUCCAAAAGAAUAAAUGGUUGUUGUAACCAAAAAAAUAAUAAAUGGUGGUGACUGAUCAAGCUAGCUUUAUUAAAUUUAUUUAUUCAGGGGUUUUUAUGAGAAAGUUUUUUUUUAAUUUUUUUAUGAGUUUUUAUGAGAAAGUUACAUUUAUCUUUAACAAUGCUAGUAUACGUAUUAUUCCUACUUAAAUGGAGUGGGGCAUUUUGGAUUGGGAAGCUAGGGACCGUGGAAUCAUAAUAAGGCCAAGGAAGCAAACCAUCAUUACAAAUGAUAAUCUCACAUAUAUACUCGAUGAAUAAACAUUUUUGAAACACGCCCUGGCCGAAGGAGUUGAUCGAUGCAUAUCAAAACGAUUAAAUUUGUGGUCACUGUACAAAAGAAACCGUAUAAUAUCGUUUGUCUUUUAUGGUAGCCUAUUGUCACGCCCCGCCAAGUUAACAAAGAGCUUUCUUGAGCGUUUUGAUGCAAGCAUAGCUCAAGGAAGGUUUUGGAGAGCACAUGAGCAUUCUGGAAGCAUCCGGAACAUUAUGGAAGGUCCUGGAAGCAUCCGGAAUAUUAUGGAAGGUCUUGGAAGCUUCCGGAAGGAUCGGGAAGCAUGCGGACAACUCUAGAACUCUCUAGAAUCUUAGAGAGUCUCUAGGACACUCCGGAACACUCUAGAACCCUAGAGAGGCUAAAUGCUCAAGGCUACUCCGGAAGUUGUUAGAAUACUUAAGGCAACACUUAGAGUUGUAUAGAAAACUCUAGAAACCUCUAUACUUGUAAAUGUCCUAGAACUAUCUAGAACCUUAGGCAAUGAGGGAUGAUGCCUAUAAAUAGGAAGACACCCCUCUCAUUUGAGGCAUAGAGAGUUGGAUAGCAUUCAAGCUCACUUGUAAAGCUUUGUAAAGUUCUCUUAAAGCUUAAUACAAGUUCUCUCUUUCAAAGAUCUUCUCCCUUCAUUCGGGUGUUCUAGCCAAAGUGUUUGCGUGAGUAAGGCUGACUUAGCAUAAGGGAAGUGCUAAGGCCGCACGAGUAACUUAGGAAAAAGGAAGCUCGUGACACUAUUCUCUACAAAUAUUUGCAUAACCCUAAUACUAUUCAUUAAAGGCUUGGUCGACGAGUGCUUGAAUGGAGGCCAAAAGGAAAGGGAAAGGGAUGAUCGAUUUGUUGAAGGCUUGAAUCUAGGGGUGGGCAUGGGACAUGUUGGGACGAGAUUAGGGUCAUCCCACGGCUCAUCCCGGACAUUGCACACAUGACGGGAUUGGGACGGGCCUUACGUUUUUAAGACUUUAUCCCACGCAAGUCCCGUCCCAGACGGGACCGGGACAGGACGGGCCCAAUCCCGCCAUCCCGCCCCAGUAUUACCUGAUAAUGAUACCAAUAUAUUCCUACAAUAUAUAAAGACUGCAUCAUCUGAAUCCAUAAUUCAUAACUACAAUAAAACUAGAGUAACAUCAAUAAUCCACAAUUACUCAAGUUCACACAUCAUAAAAUUCAAAAGAAAACAGGAAAGUAGUGAAUCUGAUAGCACAAGCUCCAAGCUGCUCCAAAUACAAACAAUUUCAACUAUAAUCAUCGAUGACAAUACCGGUUGCAACAUACUUCUCUUUCCCUUUCACUGUUGCAGUUGGAGGUGGACAAUUGUUCUUGCUUGAAGCAGUGCUCUCAUGCUUUGCAAAAAUGAAAAAAAGUUAGUCCAUGCACCUGAAAAUAACCAAAAAGUAUAAACACAUCAAAAUUCAUACCUCGCUCAACAUUGUAAUAAAACUCUGUGUUUUCAAUUAUUGGUUCAUCAAUAUCUUCGACAACCUCUGCAAUAUCAUCACCUAACAUCCAGUUUUGCAUGCAAAUGAGUCUCUCCACUGAUUUAGGAGUUAAUGAUCUCCUAAAACAAUCAAUAGCUUUGUCCCCUGUUGAGCAGCAUGACUCAGAGGCCACUGUUGAGAUCUGAAUUGCAAGAACAUCUCUUGCAAUUGCUACUAAGACUGGAAACUUGCAUCCAUUAACCUUCCACCAACACAGGAUGUCAAAUUGAUCUUCUUCAUCGGUUGGAUCUAAUGCAGCAUCCAAGUAUUGAUCAAUUUCAUGAACUGCGACUGCCUCUUCAUUUUCUUGCACAACCUUCUUCCAAUUACUAAGACGUUAGCCCCUAUGGCCACGGUUAGUGCUGCUUCUACUUGUGAUAAUGCUAGAUGAAGAGGUUGGAGAUUACGGCCUCUGCAUGUGUAUACCUACAUCUACAUGAACCACAUACUAAGAAAAAAAAAUGCAGAAACUGAAAAUCAAAUAUAUACAAAAUGGAAACAUGUCACUUAGAAAAGAGUUGUCUUAUGCUAGAAACAGGUUACUUAGAAACAUAUAUAUACAAACACUAGAAAUAUACAACCUAACAACAAAUGCAACAGUAAUAGAUUGGAUAUAUGCAAUCAAAAAAAUAUCAGAAAAGGUGUAAACUGUAAAAUACCUGAUCAUAGAGAGCCAUAAGCAGGUCUUUAAUCACCUUUGUUCUCCUCUCCACCUCAUCAACAUCCAGAUUCUGUUCAUUAUACAUAUGAGUCACAUUCUUCAACUUAAAUCUUGCAUCCAAAACUAGUCCAAUGAUCAAUAUGUUGUUAAGGUCCCCAAAAGAGCCAAAAUACUUCAUCCAUCUGCUUCUCAUAUUGCCUGCCAUAUCUUGCAAUGUCUUUUCAGUUUCUGAUCCAGUUGUCAUCUCCGACGCCACAAACAAGCUAUUUAUGUUGUUUUCCAUAUCAAUCACAUCAACAAAAACAGUGUGCAGAGUAGGGUGCAAUGAUGCACUAUUCCUUAGAGUCACUCCCCAAAAAACUCUUAACAUAUCGACAAACACACUAGUCUUCAACCAAUCUCCUUCUUCUGGAGGUCCUACCCUUGCUCUCUUUCUGCGACUUAUCAACAUCACGUGGAAAAUACCUAUAGUUUUGGUUGAUGUGCCUAAGCAAUCCAGAGGUGCCACUCUUACUCUUAACAGAAAAGUCCCCAAUCUUACCCUUAGGACAGUAGAUGCAAUGAGCCCUUUUAUGAACUAUCUCAAUUAUCUUCCCCUCAGCAUCUUUCACUCUAUCAAUUUUCUCAUACUCUUUGAAAUACUCCCAAACAUGACUAGUAUGCUUCGUACCUGAUUGAGCAAGACCAUCACCAUCCUCACUACAAAUGCAGCAGCAGAAGCCACACCACCCUCGCCUACAGAUGCAGCAACUUGACCAACUUCAAUCCCGGGUUCACUUGAACUUGGGUUUGUAGCUUUGAGCAGAGGGACUGAUGUAACUGGAGGAGAUGGUGAUGCUACUGAUGUCGUCGUUGACGAAUUCUGAAGGCCAGAAGCAGAACGGUUGGGUCGCACAAUUACUUUCUUUCCUCUCGCCAUCGUUUUCGAGUAAUUCCCCCUGCAUUCAGCCAUUCAUAAUAAACUUAUUCAACUUUAUAGAUAAUCAAGUAAGAAAGUGAAGCUUCUUUGAAUACACACAUAUAGAUAAUCACAUAUGCAGUAACCACAUCCAAUACAUCAAAUUUUGAUACAUUAACCACAUCCACAUAUGCAGUAACCACAUCCAAUACACACAUGUAGAUAAUCAAUUAUUCUAUUAACCACAUCCAAUACAUCAAAUUUUGAUACAUUAACCAAAUCCACAUAUGCAGUAAUCACAUCCAAUACACACAUGUAGAUAAUUACUUAUUCUAUGAUACAUUAACCACAUCCAAUACAUCAAAUUUUGACAAUCAUAUACUAACUAAUUCAUGAUCAGUUUUACUAACAUCAAAUUUCCUAAUGUUACCUUUAACAUUAGAUCAGUUUUAUACAAUCAUAGACUAACUAAUUCAUGAUCAUGGUAAGCACAAUAAUACUUUUAGUAAACGCAAUAGAUAAUCACAUGAAUCUAUAGAUAAUCACAUAUGCAGCAGCAACAACUAAUUACCAGUAGCUCACCUUUACACAACACCUAUAGAAUUCAUGGGAAGAGUAAACAACGUUACAUGACAUGGUUCAUUACCUUGCACCUUGCUCAGAUUCUUGAUUUUUAUCGAUGAUGGUUAUAACGAAUUGGAUGAUGCUGCUGUUUCUUUAUCUGUCCAGAGUAGCACAUAUGAGAUCAAUAAGAUUACAGUAUUAAACCCCAGCUAUCAAGAUAAACCAGUUCCAGAGUAGCACAUACACACCUUAGCAGCAUGAGGGAGGAGGAAGGCGAGGCGAGGAGGAGGCGGGCGCCAAGGUGAGGAGGAGGCCGGCGGUGAGGUUAGCGGAGGCAGUGGAGGAGUUCAAGGAGGACUGGCAGAGGCGGUUUGGCUGGAUUGGGAUUUCAAGCAUCAUCGAUUGAGGUUUGGCUGGAGGGUUGAGAGUGACUUCCCUUUUAGAAGUUUAGGGUUCUUGCGAUGAAACUGAAAGACAGAGAGUGAAAGACUGCAACCAUAGUGAGAUGAGUUAGUAUUAGGGUUCAAAAAUGUAAGGUUGAGAUCAAAACAUCUAAAAAACUAAUGGCUUAGAUUAGUCUAUAUUUUCACACGGGACGGGACGGGUCUGACGGGCCUCAACUUUUCAGUCCCGCGUCCCGUCCCGUUGUUUCUCUACGGGACGGGACAAGACGGGCCUUAUGUUUUUAGAAUUAUAUCCCGUCCCAUCCCGUCAAAUUUCUGGAUGGGAUCGGGAUGGGACCGGGAUUUAGGUUUUUUAUGCCCACCCCUACUUGAAUUGAAUACUUGAAGGGAAUUAGUAUGUAGUCUUGCAUGAUAUUAGAUAGAACUGUUAGCAUGCCCGUACCUAAGGUGACGCUGAAGAGGCAGCCGCCUCAAGCAUCAAAACUUUGGGGGCAUCAAAUUCUUCUUUUUCUAUAUGUGUGUGUGUAUAUAUUUUCACAUAAACCUUAAACUUUUCGUUUCUUUCUCAGUUUCUUGUGUUCUUUCUACUGAGUCAUCUAAUUGUCUGGAGCUAAUUUUUUUUUGUCUAUAGUUACGUCAUUUUAUCCAAUUAUUCAUAGCUACAAAGUCUGAGGGGAUGCCAAAUUUUUUAUGGCCGAUGACCGUUGUUUUUUCCUCCUCGUAUUGAUACGGGUGUAUUUUAGUCUUUUAGGAAUUAGCCGAUUCCUUCUCCAAGUUAGUUAAGGAAAUAGCUUUUCUAGCUUGUUAGGGAAUAGUUUUUCAACUUAGUUUGGGAUUAGUUGUCUAACUUAGUUAGGGAGUACUCUCCAAGUUAGAUAAAGAUUUAUAGAGAUUUAGACUCUAUAAAUAUAGGUGUCUAGCUUAGUUCUAGAGACCAGAGGGUGAAACAGAGACAACAUCUGUUUACAUCAGAGAGCGAAAUAGUUAGAGAGAUAUCUGUUUAGAGUGUUAUUGUGAGAGAAGACAUUAGACAAUAAUCAUUGUACCAUUUUGCACAAUAAUAAGAGAAUGAUAUAAUUUUCUUCGAACUACAUUGCUUGUGUAUUGUAGUAUUGCUAGCAAUUCUGCUGUUAGCAGUAUCACCUGAGUAAUUCGUAUCACGUAUGAUCAUAGGACAUUAUUCUUAGAACUCGCCUCAAGUCUUCAAAUCUCAAGUCCGGUCGUCUGUUAGAUGUCAAUCUGUCAUGGAUUAUUAAAAACAAAGUGUUGAAAACUAAAAAACAACAAGAAAGAUAUCUUAAAACGUUUGAAGACUAGAUUGUGUUUGUAUUGAUGGUAAAUGUAGUUACAAUGAUAGAUGUAGAAUGAUAUGAUUGCGAGAAGGUAAAUUGAGUCAAAACCCUAGUAUAUAUAUCAUGUAUGACUUCACCGGCCUUUAACAUUCUCCACCAACGUAAGCGCACGCUAGCUUAAAGCAAGAAAACGAUUAAAGGAUUAGUGGAGGGUUGGUGGCAUGCUGUAGUGAGCAGCCUAUUAGCUUGAUAAGGAAAAAGGAAAAAAGAACCACAGCCAUCACAAGUAGACUCGUAAAUAGACCGGAUCUUAAUCCGGACCCACUCCGGAUCCAUGGUUUUUAAACGGGUUUGGAUCGAAAAUUAGACCCGUUAAUCCGUUAAGGACCCGGAUCCGUUUACCCGUUUAUUAAACGGAUCGGAUACGGAUCGAGGUUGAUCCGAUCCGUUAAGGAGCUGGAUCCGUUUAAAAAUAAUUAAAUAAUAUUUUUAUAAAUAAAAUAUUAUUGAUAAAUAUUAAAUAAUAUAAUAAUUAUUUGGAUAACCUAAACGUCUAAAUUGCGUCUAAAGUAUGAUCAUUUGAUGAAGUUGAAGGUUACGAUGCCUAUGUUUUUUUUAUGCUCUUUGCUAAAUACAUUGGAGGUUUAGUAUUUUGAAUAUAUUAGUUUAUUGUUAAGAAGUAUUUUGGCCAUGUAAUUCAACUUUUGAUGUAAACAUUUAUUUUGUUAUAAUAUUUUAUUAGUGUUUUAUGAAAAUUUAUGAUAAAAUUAAGAAAUUAUUAUUUAAAAUUUGAAAAUAUUUAUAAUCAUAAACGGAUCGGAUUAACGGGUCGGGUAUCCGUUAACCCGCCGGAUCCGGAUUUGAAUCUAGCUAUCAAAGAUCCAGCGGGUAACGGGUCGGAUCCGGAUCCAAAAUUUCUAUUACGGAUCCGGAUUCGGAUCUAGGUAGAUCCGCUCCAGAUCUGGUCCAUUUACAGGUCUAAUCACAAGUCUUAAACGUUAACGCAAAUUAGAACCUCUCUAUUGAUACCCAUGUCUUAUAGGGACGAAACCCACAACUGUUAAGUACAUCUCAUCAACAAGAAAUGAUUUCAUUUACCUUCACGAAACACCCUUGUAUCAGUUGUAUGUCUCUUUCUUAUUGUUUUAGCUUGGGAAUAAUAAUUCAUAGAGUCUGAGUCUUGCUAAAAUAUCAUUCACUCACAGAUUGAAAUCUCAAAUUAAAUAGAUAAUCGUAAACAGAUAAGGUUGUAUAAAUAAAAUAGAAAAUGACAUUUUAUUACCAUAGACAGUUGCAAAAUACAGAAAAACCAUUUUUCAACAGAUUUAAACAAAUAAGGACAUAUACUCAGGCCCACAAUGCAUAGUACCACGCCCUGUCAGCAAUUUUUUACGCAAAAUACCCAAAAAACCAUUAUUUUCUGAAAUAUCUACAAAACUGUCACUGGCUCAAAAUACCACUUCUCUACCAUUUUCAGAUCUGCACCGAUUCUUCUUCUUCUUCUUCUCUUCCUCUUCCUCUUCCUCUUCUUCUUCGCCGGUCACCGCUCCGACCAAAUUGCUAGGAGGCGAGGAAUGGAGGAGGAGCCGAAUAAUGAAAGGAUGAAUGUUGACUAAGGCUUCGCUGAAUCCAACCAGAUCUGAUUUGAUUAUUCUUCGAUCUCUACAACUUGGUUUACUCAAAGAUUCUUUGGAAUUAAAACCCAUAUCUUUUGAAUUUGACAACAAAAAGUGAUCAUUUGUAGCUAAUCCGUGCUCAUGCUUCAUGCUACUGCUGCAUUCUGCUAUGUGCUGCUGCGUGCUGCUAUUGUAUGUUGCUGCUGCGUGUGAUGUUGGUGUGUGUUGUUGUGUGCUGCUACUGUGUGUGUUGAUGUUGUGUGUUGUUGUUGUUGUGUGUUGCUCCUGUGUGUGUUGAUGUUGUGUGUUGUUGUGUGCUGCUACUGUGUGCUGUUGUGUGCUGCUACUGUGUGCUGUUGUGUGCUGCUACUGUGUGCUGUUGUGUGCUGUUAUUGUGUGUGUUGAUGUUGUGUGUUGUUGUGUGCUGCUACCAAGCUUCUAAAAGGCCCAGCCUAUGACCGCCUAGUCCCCGCUUAGGCUCUAGGCUGCAACAAGCCGCCUCGCUUUUCUUUCAGGCCUUUGUGCCAGGCUGUGGGCGAUUAGGCGGCCGCCUAGCUCGCCUAAAUGCCGCCUAGCCUGCCUAAAUGCCGCCUAGCCCGUCUAGGCUGUUAAGCUCUACGGCUAUUUUUGUUUUCUUUUUGUGGUGGGAUUGUUAUAUUAUGGGGAGUAUGAGAGUAUAAGAGUUAAUUGUGUGUUUAAAAUUAGAAGUGUAUAUGUUUAUUGAUGUUGUUGCUCACUUUUACAGAAAGUUAUACUAAAUUUUAGUUAUAAUUUAUUUUAUAAAUGAGUAUGACUAGAUUAUGUUGAAUAAUUUAUCUAUAUUUGACCGUUUUCAAAUAUUAAAUUACAUAAAAUAUAUAUUUUUAAUUAAUAAAUCUUAAAAAUACAAAUCGCCUAGUCCCCGCCUAAUCCUCGCCUAGGCUGUCCAGGCUCUAGGCUGUGGGUUACCGCUCGCCUAGCGCCUUUUAGAACAUUGACUGCUACUAUGUGUAUUGUUGUGUGCUGCUACUGCGUGUGUUGUUGAUGUGUGUUAUUUUGUGCUACUACUGCAUGUUGUUACUGCGUGCUGCUACUGUGUGCUGCUUUGUGCGUGUGUUGUUGUGUGCUGCUACUGCGUGUUGUUGUGUGCUGUUACUGUGUGUGUUGUUGUGUGCUGCUACUACGUGCUGUUGUGUGUUGCUACUACGUGCUGUUGCUAUGUGUUGUUGUGUGCUGUUACUGCAUGCUGCUACUGCAUACUGCUACUACACUAAGUUAUUAAAAACCUGCUACUGUAUUUCACUUAUUGAAAAAUCUCAAAAUGUGAGACUUUUCUCUUCAAAAAUCAUAUUUAAUUAGUAUAUGGUUAAUUUGGUAAAUUAAACCAUGACACAUGGCAUGCAGAGAAAAUAUUGUCCUUAAUUGUUAAAAACUGUCCUUAUUUGUUUAACAACACAAGUGGAUUUAUUUGUGUUUCAAAUCCUUUUGAAGGAUGGGAAAUUUUAAAUACACACCCCUAAUAUCUUAAUACACAUCCUUUACUUAAUACACCACUUAUCAAAUUUUUCAUUUCAAUAUUAUACUUAAUACACAUCCCAAACUGCCUAAAAUGCCCUUAAUUUAUGAAAUACUCCGUUAUUUAUAUAAUUAAUAUAUAUUUACUAUUUGGUACCUCUUUUGACAUAUUAUUUCGUCUAAUUUUUGCUAUCAUCGUUCAAUUUAUAAUCAAAUUAUAUUAUUGUUAUAUCCCAACUCCAAAUCACCAAUACAAGUUUUUAAAAAUUCACAAGCUAAUACAACUGUAGAAGUAUAGUAGCUAUUAAACAUAGAUAGCUAGUUAUUCAAUAAAACAUAUCAUGAUAAAAAUGCAGUAUUUGACAAUAUGAUCUACAAGAUUAAAUUAAAGCUGAUAAAGAUGCAGUAUUUGACAAUAUGAUCUGUAAGAUCAAACUAAAGCUAAUACGGAUACCAAAAAAAAGACAACCCAAAUGAAUUGUGGAGAAGAAUUGGGGUUAAGGAAGAAGACGUGCUUUCAACGAUUUUAGGGUAAAAGACGUUGGAAAGAAUACUUCAAGCGCGAUUUUUUUUUUUAAUAAUAGAUGUAUGUUUUGGUCAUUUAGCUUACCUAUAAAAUCUCAAUAAAAACAUAAAAUAAUAGGGGUGUGUAUUAAGAGAUUAGGGGUGUGUAUUUAAAAUUUCUCUUGAAUGAUGUAUAUGUGAUUUGCUAUAAAUAAAAUAAUAGUGUUACAACUUUCUCUAGUGUCAUUAUUGGUUCUCUUCUUUCGGAAAGCUUUUGCAUAUUUCAUUUCGCAAUGAGAUUCCGAGACCAAACGUACCAGAAACACUGUUUAUAUGUAUUAGUUUCUUAAUUACAUGAUUUUGGGCAUGCAUCAGCCAACCGUGUUUGUAUAUAAUUUGCUAGAAGUAGUCGGUGAGGGCCGGGGUUAGGUAUUUAUUUUGGCCUCACUUCAGCAAAUAGAAAAAAACAAAAAACUUGAUUGUUUAAUUUUAACGAACCAGCAGAAAGAAAUUAGUGGUGCGCUUGCAUGCAUGAUUAGAUUGGUGAAAUGUGAUCACCAACAACAUAUAAUUCCCAACCACAGUAUCAUUUGCUUAAUUUAUAACCAAAUCUAUUGCAAAGUGAAAGAUCGACUUGCAAGUCUAGUCUCCCGUAGAAAACAUUAUUUUGGCGUCUGCCUACACAUAUGUUGACCUACUACCCAAAUAGUAUUAACGAGUCAUAUAUGAUUCCUUAGACUUGACUUGAUGAGUUGGUUGGAAAAUGCAUUAAGAUAUAUCGCAGCAACAACCAUCCCCACUAAGGAAAGGAGUAGGAAUUUUGACCGAAAAUUCGUGAGAAAGAUUGAGGAAACUGGAAUUUUUGUUCAACGAUUAACUUUCUUUGUAAUUAUAACAUGUGACGCAAGACUAAAGCACCUGCAAAGACUAGCUUUUCAAAAUAGGAGUUUACUUUUGUAAUAUGCAUGACUCCAUCGAAAUCGAACUUAACCUUUUUUUUUUUUUUUUUUUUUUUUCCGGAUUAAAAAUUAAAGUAUCACAGAGAAAAACCUCCUAAUUGAUCAAACUGGAGGGCCGGAAAUCAAACAUGUGUGAUGAUUAAUUACAACAAGAUUACUAGUUAAGUAGCAGGAACAACAUGACAUGCAAUUUUAUUUGUAGAGUUCGAAGAUUCAAAGGUAAAUAGAUGAGAAUAUUAAUUGCUAGUGUGAGAUAGUUCAUGAUAACUCUGGGUUGAUGGGUUGCCAGCUCCUAAUCCAAAUACAUUUUGCCAUCAAAAAACAUUAGCAUUUUAAUAUAUAAAUAUAUUAAAAACUAACAACCAUUAGUUGUUGUCUUGUGAUCCAUGAUGCAUGCCUGAGUCUCAGUUUUUUCCAGCAACGUAACCAACAGGCAAGUGUGAACGCUUGGGAUGGUCCAAUUCUGUUAUGCCCCAGAGAACUUGCCAGUCCACUCAACAGAACUUGUUUUCUUUUAAAUCCUUCUACGCUGGAAUUGAAUUUCAAGAAGUCAUUCAUUUUCUCCUAGAGAUUGUUUUUUUGGACAAAUUGCCAGAUUGUUCGAAUUGCCAUGUUCCACAUAUUUAUUUGCAAAUUGCUAGUGAACAAACAAAAUAUAUUUUUUUAGUAGACAAAGCUAAUUUAUAGAAUUAAUUUUGUCUUCAGUACGGUUUACUUAGUUGACAAGCUUCCAUGUCUAAUUAAUUGGAUUUUUGGACCAGUUCUCUUCAAUGGCAGCCGAUUAACUGUUUUAUACUUUAUUUUAUGAAUGUGUAUUGGUGUAAAUAGCCUUUUAUGCCGAAACCAUUUCCUACCAAGAGCAGGAGUGACCUUUAUGUUCUAGAAUUGCCCAGAAUGCAUAUGAUAUAUGCAUGUGGUGAAGAACAUGAUGCCAAAGAAGCUAGGGUCAAAAACAUAAUGGAUGAAUAAAAGACUACGGGAGCUAAUAAUUCGGUUAUGUCUUAAAUUCAAAUUUAAUUCUACCUGUAAUUAAUGAAUCCUCGUUUAAUUUAUUAAGAAUUAUAAAGCUCAAGCUAGCUAGCACCAUUUAAAGAAAGCAAACUGGAUAUCGAUAUUCUGUUUUUUUUAAAUUUAUUUAUUUAUUUAUUUUUAAAUAAGGACUUGAAAGACAGUCUUCACGUCGUUACUAUUAGUGAAACCACAUAAUAUAAAAAUGAGACAUUAAACAUAAACACCAUAAUAUAAAACACUCAAAAACUAUAUUAGGAGCUCCUACAUAACUUAUGCAUUAUAACAAAAAUCAUUUAACAAAGAUUACAUUAUUGACUACUCUAUUUACUUUACAUAAAACAUGACAAGCCAUAAAAUACUUUGUUGAAGUUCUUGCUCAUCAUCUGGGUUUUUUUUAUGUGUAUCAAGUACAGUAAAUAGUAAAUAGGUGGAUCAUCAUGUAUUUUUAUAUUCAACAAUUGCAACUAGCUUACAAUUAAGUUCUCAUGUCACCCAACGCAUUUGAGGUUAUGAUUGAACAAAUUUUCAAGAAAGUGUAAUAUAUCAAGUAUCACAUUAAUUGUUUAGCUAAUUAAGGUACGUAGCUCUAAAGGCAGAAGGAACCAGAUUUUGUGGAAAGUGGCAAGGAUCAUGCUUUAGAAAGAAGUUGAGCCUUCAUGGCUCAGCAACUCGUAAUGAGGAUAUGUGUGGUUGAUUGAAAGGCGUGAAAUCCAUGUUUUUACUUGUUAAGAUGAAAUUAAGUUUCUAAUUAGGUCACUCAUGCUCAUAGAAUGCAAUAUACCCAAUAUUUCUACAAAAAAAAAAAAAAUAGUAAGGGAAAGUUUAUAUAUUCAACGAAAAUAUACACAUAAAUUCUCACAGCGCAACAAAAUAGUUAGUAGACUCAUGUUUUGUAGACAGUGAAAAUAUGUAACAACUUAAAAAGAAUUGGUAUUGCUUUAGCUAAAUAAGGAGUGAGACCCUCCUACGCUAAAUAACACAAAAGUGAACAUUCUAUUCUUACAUCAAACUAUGUAGAUAGAUACAACCAACUUGCGGACACCUUUUUAUGCUUUAUGGUGUUGGUUGAAGUGUUAACACACUGGUCACGUGUUACACUAUUAUCUACUGCUUAUGCUGCUUAUACUUCUACGGGCUCACUACCCAUUUUUUUAAAGAAGUUUAUCGGGAUGUAAGUUGAAGUGUCCUGUGCCCCAUGUUCACACGCAAUACGGUCUCACCGAGGCUACGACCAAGCAACUUUAACUUGUCGCUCGAACAUUAUUGAUGCGCACCAAUCUUUUUAUUGCGUCUUAGGGCUAUGCAAUAUUUGCAUGCAGCUUUACUAUUCAUCUACGACCCACCAUCAUUGAAUUUUGUUGUACUACAGCUCGUGACUGUGUACCAGGAUUGACACGAAAUUGCAAUCCUUGAGCUCGGCAAGAUUGAAACGGAUCUCCAAUCCUUGAGCUCGGCUAGAUGUUAUUUCUAGAUGCCAAAUAGCAUUGCCAUUGCGUACAAUGAUUGGUCAUUUGAGAUGAAUAAGUUUAGGUUGGAUAUGAACCUCCACCUAUAAUCCGCAUAUGUAGAAACCUUGUCAGGCGAUCUCAUUCACCGCUAAAUUGCGGAUUGUCANNNNNNNNNNNNNNNNNNNNCGUGAAUUGUCGUGGUUUGUCCCCACUAAGUCUCAUCUUGAUCCCAAAUGCUUAUAGUGUUAAAGUGAUGAGAUCACAUGCUGCAAAUAUGUCUGCAAGGAUUGAUGUCCUACAAAAGGACAUGGCGCGACCAAAAGAAGUUGGUCUUGGCGCCAUCACCAUGGAUGGUGAUAUGGUGACGCCAUAUAGUGGCAAAAUUGGUGUCACAAGGCCGUGUGGCUCCCUAAAAGGAGGGAGGCCCUUAGGUUCGAUAUAUCCUCGCACUNNNNNNNNNNNNNNNNNNNNNNNNNNNNNNNNNNNNNNNNNNNNNNNNNNNNNNNNNNNNNNNNNNNNNNNNNNNNNNNNNNNNNNNNNNNNNNNNNNNNNNNNNNNNNNNNNNNNNNNNNNNNNNNNNNNNNNNNNNNNNNNNNNNNNNNNNNNNNNNNNNNNNNNNNNNNNNNNNNNNNNNNNNNNNNNNNNNNNNNNNNNNNNNNNNNNNNNNNNNNNNNNNNNNNNNNNNNNNNNNNNNNNNNNNNNNNNNNNNNNNNNNNNNNNNNNNNNNNNNNNNNNNNNNNNNNNNNNNNNNNNNNNNNNNNNNNNNNNNNNNNNNNNNNNNNNNNNNNNNNNNNNNNNNNNNNNNNNNNNNNNNNNNNNNNNNNNNNNNNNNNNNNNNNNNNNNNNNNNNNNNNNNNNNNNNNNNNNNNNNNNNNNNNNNNNNNNNNNNNNNNNNNNNNNNNNNNNNNNNNNNNNNNNNNNNNNNNNNNNNNNNNNNNNNNNNNNNNNNNNNNNNNNNNNNNNNNNNNNNNNNNNNNNNNNNNNNNNNNNNNNNNNNNNNNNNNNNNNNNNNNNNNNNNNNNNNNNNNNNNNNNNNNNNNNNNNNNNNNNNNNNNNNNNNNNNNNNNNNNNNNNNNNNNNNNNNNNNNNNNNNNNNNNNNNNNNNNNNNNNNNNNNNNNNNNNNNNNNNNNNNNNNNNNNNNNNNNNNNNNNNNNNNNNNNNNNNNNNNNNNNNNNNNNNNNNNNNNNNNNNNNNNNNNNNNNNNNNNNNNNNNNNNNNNNNNNNNNNNNNNNNNNNNNNNNNNNNNNNNNNNNNNNNNNNNNNNNNNNNNNNNNNNNNNNNNNNNNNNNNNNNNNNNNNNNNNNNNNNNNNNNNNNNNNNNNNNNNNNNNNNNNNNNNNNNNNNNNNUGGACUCUUGAUGGAUCAAGAGAUGCCAAUAUGUAAUCAACAUCCGAGAAAAAGAUCUUGGGAAGACACAGUCUCGAUAAGGCACUCGAUGACUGUAUUGAUGAUCAAUCGGCUUAGGCGCUCUAUAACUAGUGAGGCCUACAUAUACUCCCAUGAUUAGUCAAGGUCUUUGCUCUAAAGAGAGAUCCGUUGUUUUGUCUAAAGCAAGAUGACAAAUAUGUGUUAAGAGAUGGAGUUCCCAUCUAAGUACAAAAAGACGCAUCAAUGUACUCAACACAAUACAAAAGACUUGACAUCUCAUUCGCUAUGAAAAGUUGUAAAGCUAAGUGUAGCUAUGCGCCCACGCAACGCCAAUGUAAUGGCAGUAACUCCUUUUUCAAUACUUGAUGGUAUGAAAGGUUGAGGCUUAUUCUAUCCCUACAUAAGAAAGACACAUCAAAAGCGAAAUCAGAAUCUGCCAAGUUUUGUAGGUCAACUUCCACGAGACCUAUAGGAAAUCUCACUCACUGGAAAAUGGUGAAAUUGGUACCAUUGGAAAGGUCUAUGUGUCUACUUUCCAGGGACACCAACCAUUUGAUCAUACCUAUCAUAUUGAGUGAGUUAUGGCCGUUUUCGUAAAGUAGGACGAAUCUGUCCGAGAAUCUGAUUUUGGCAAAACAGUUAACUUCGACGGGAUUUUGUGAACAGUUCCAGAUGAACCAGAAUGUGUGUAAUAUACGGUUGGAAAGCUAAAUGAGUCUAGUUCCAAAACCGUUUACGGUUCGUUCAUAUGUAUUUCCUAGAGAAAGUUACGACUGUUCUAGUAAUUGAAGGUCAUGCUGCGCGGAAACCUGAUUUCCUACACGAACUUAUGUUUUGAGUUCACAAGCGACAUUCUCCUCAAGAUCUAAGUGUAAAAGAUCAUUUGAGGACAAUACGGCAUGAUUUAGUUAAUCAUUGCCCAAUGCCACAUUUGAAGACAUGUUAAAAAGCAUUGACAUGCUAAGUUGUUGAAACUUCCGUGAUUAGUAAGAAUCAGGAAGAGCCCUAUGAUUGAUGUAAAGAUCAGGGAGAGGUGCGAACUUCAGGGAGAGUCUAGCACAUACAUACAUGUCACUAUCAAAUGUGAAGGGUGCGUUGUACUCUUUUUCUCCUACGAUCAAGGUUCAGUUUUUCUCCCACAGGGUUUUUGUGACUUGACGAGGUUUUUGACGAGGCAACAGAUCAGCACCAUCGGCAUAUCAGCGCGCGGCACAAGGGGGAGUGUUCUAGGAUAUUCUCUAUGUGUGCCUUGGCCUUAUGCCAAUAGGAUAUGUAGUUAGACUAGAUCUAUGUAUUCAUAUCAUUACCAUAUUGGUAUUGUGUAAUUCCCUAUAUAAAGGGCUCCUAUCAAUGAAUAAGAUGAUGAUUCUCUUACUAUCUCUUUGUCUCUACCAUUAAUCCUUCAUCAGUUCCUAAAUUAUCUACGAUAACGACUCUCAUAAUUCUAAAGAAAAUGACAAACUAAUAAAAAAAGAAAGCGAGGGUUUGUCAUAUUGAUUUCUUUAAGAUAUAUAAAUAUGCAAUCUUUUACAAUAAACACAAAGAAAAUACAACAUCCUUAAAGUUACACGUAUACACAAAAUAAGGUCACUUGAAUUAAUCCGACAUGACUAUGAAAUUGAGCUAUGAGUACCAAAUCUAAUUAAAUGUAACACCUAAAGCUAUGACAUCGACUAUUGUUGUCUAUUACUCCGGUUUACUGCUUUAUGGCCGAAUUUUCAAAUACAUCGUUGUCACAUCGCCGGUAAAACAUUGUUCGAUGUUAGACUCUAGUAAUGUAGAGAUUCUUAGGUAGUGCAUCUCAAAACUAUAUGAUUCCUAGCAAUAAGUCCAAAUCCGCAAGAAUUUAUGAACAAGUAAAUGUCCACACUGAAAGCAUGAUCCGAAUCCAUGAUACACUUCUCAUGUGUCGCCCAUUUAACCCUUGCCAAGAUCUAAGACACAAACAAACGUGAAAAUGAAGGCAAGUAUUGUAACAAAGCCAUUGAACUAAAUUGAACAAAAUCUGAUUCUGAUUCAAUUUCUCCAUCUUCACUUGUCACUUACAUCAAGUACAUUUUACUACAGUAGUCGACCCUAGUUAGUCAUUACCUAGUUUGAAUACGUUCAUAGAUACAAAAAACGGAUAAAAAAAAUAUGGAAUUUUCCUCACACAAAUCCCCACCAACCACUUCCCCCUGUCGUCUCGUACUCUUGCACCAAGCAACAAAGCAACCAACAAGUAAAAGGUCCUCUCGCUAGUCAUCCACCUCGGACAUCCACGUAGCAAAUUCACCCACCGCUGGAUCAGCUGACGAUCCCACGGUCACAUUUAAUUUUCAACCAACCCUCGUGUGGCUCUCUGCCACCCUUAUGCUCACCUACCAAAUACCACUUCACUCUUCCUCCCCCUUGUAACGUUUUCCCUUACCUUGCCAGUUUUGCCUCCUCCAUACAUCUAUUUAAGCACCCACCUCUCCUCCCUCCACUUCCUCAGGAAAACACCCCCCAUCUCCCCUAACCUUUCAUCCCUCUCCUCUCUCCUCUCUCCUCCAGUCCUAACUCCCAUUUCUGCGAUCAUUUCUGGGUUCAAUUCUCACUACUGACAUAUAUGGAGACCGUAACCCAGAAUGGAUACCACCAGAAUGGGAUCCAAAACGGUUCCUUGGACAUUCUCUGCGUCAAAACAGAGUCCCUCAAAGCUGUUUCGGACCCGCUUAACUGGGGAGCGGCGGCGGAGUCCAUGACAGGCAGCCACCUUGAUGAAGUGAAGCGCAUGGUGGCCGAGUACAGGAAGCCUGUGGUGAAGCUCGGUGGAAAGACCUUGACUAUUGCUCAGGUCGCGGCCAUAGCUAACCAUGACUCUGGUGUCAAGGUUGAACUGGAUGAGUCUGCCAGGGCUGGUGUGAAGGCCAGUAGUGACUGGGUGAUGGACUCCAUGAACAAAGGAACAGACAGCUAUGGUGUCACCACCGGGUUCGGUGCGACCUCCCACAGACGAACCAAGCAAGGCGCUGCACUUCAGAAAGAGCUGAUUAGGUAAGUUACCCUUUUGCAUAUUUUUGAUGGGAAGUAACCUUUUGCAUACUUUCUUAGGGGAGUUUCCUUUUGAAUGUUAAUCUGCUGAAAAUGAUUGUUUUGUCACGUCUACCUCACUUCAACAUGUUAAGUUGACAAACAAUUAAUCUAGUUCGUAAAAUUACAUAAAACCUCAGCAUCACAUUUUUUAUCUUUUUGAUGGUGCAGUAAAUAUAACUUACAGUUUCAUCAAGUAACUUAUCGUAUAUUAUUAACUCAUUAACUGCUGAGAAUUCUCCGAUUCAUUUGUAAAAUAACUUAUGAUCGUUGAUCAAGUCGAUCUAUACCUAGUUUUUUGUGAACUUGGGGACAAAGAUUCACAUAGGAAGAUAAAUUCUUAGAUAUGACAGGCGUACAAGCUACGUGGAACAACACGCCCGGCUAAUUGUGUCUCUCUCUCCCCUUUAAUUGUAUUCCAAAACAAUCGAUAUUUAAUUACUAAGAAACACUUGAAAAACCUUCCUGCAUAGGAAUUUGGCUUUGUACCUCCCCGCUCUAGCUAUAUAAGAAUCUCAGAUUUUCGUCACUAGCUGUAACAGACAGUUCCUUGUCACCUAAAAUACCUGUCUCAAAACCAACUUGGAUUGCAUAGGACGGCAAAUGACUUAAUUGGUACACACUCAAAUGACAUGAGUAGUACUUGAAGGUUCAAGGAAUUCACCUAGUACAAUCAGUAGGGAUUUUCAAAUCUUACCUAGUAAAUUGGUCUUUGAUUAGAUCUGGGUUUCAAGUUAAUUAAACUGGUCCAUCUGGAUUUGGACUCAUAAUUAGUAUUUGUCGAUUCUAUCAAUUUUAGGUGGAGUCAUGCAUUCAUACCCGUUUAUGCAUUUGAUUUUAACAUAUAUAUUAUUUUCUUGAUCCAUCGAAUUAUGAACUGAUGGAGCAUUUUCGUUUCUUGGUCCAGAUUCUUGAACGCUGGAGUAUUUGGCAAGGGAACAGAGUCUCACACUCUGCCUCACCCCACAACAAGAGCAGCCAUGCUUGUUAGAAUCAACACUCUCCUGCAAGGCUACUCCGGCAUAAGAUUCGAAAUCUUAGAAGCCAUCACCAAGUUUCUCAACCACAACAUUACUCCCUGCUUGCCUCUCCGCGGCACCAUCUCCUCCUCCGGAGACCUUGUGCCGCUUUCCUAUAUUGCCGGACUACUAACCGGCCGCCCCAAUUCUAAGUCGGUUGGACCAAAAGGCGAGACCCUCAAUGCUGCUCAGGCUUUCGAACAAGUCGGUAUCAGCUCAGGGUUUUUCGAGUUGCAGCCUAAAGAAGGACUUGCUCUUGUUAAUGGUACUGCUGUUGGCUCUGGCUUGGCCUCCACGGUUCUUUUCGAGACCAACAUUUUAACCUUGCUUUCCGAAAUCUUGUCUGCGAUUUUCGCUGAAGUAAUGCAGGGGAAGCCUGAGUUUACAGACCACUUGACACACAAGUUGAAGCACCACCCUGGUCAAAUUGAGGCCGCUGCAAUUAUGGAGUACAUUUUGGAUGGCAGUGAUUACGUUAAAGCUGCUAAGAAGCUACAUGAGCAGGACCCUCUUCAGAAGCCUAAACAAGACCGUUACGCUCUCCGAACCUCACCACAAUGGCUCGGUCCACUAAUUGAAGUGAUCCGAUUUUCGACAAAAUCAAUCGAGAGGGAGAUUAAUUCUGUUAAUGACAACCCUCUGAUCGAUGUUUCAAGGAACAAGGCAUUGCAUGGUGGCAACUUCCAGGGUACCCCAAUUGGAGUAUCCAUGGAUAACACACGUCUGGCUAUUGCAUCCAUUGGAAAGCUCAUGUUUGCUCAAUUUUCAGAACUUGUCAAUGAUUAUUACAACAAUGGCUUGCCAUCCAAUUUGUCCGGUGGGAGGAACCCAAGUUUGGAUUAUGGCUUUAAGGGAGCUGAGAUUGCCAUGGCAUCUUAUUGUUCUGAGCUUCAGUUUCUCGCAAAUCCAGUGACCAACCAUGUCCAGAGUGCUGAGCAACACAACCAGGAUGUCAACUCUUUGGGGCUGAUUUCGUCACGAAAAACUGCAGAAGCAGUUGACAUACUGAAGCUCAUGUCUUCCACAUUUUUGGUAGCGCUUUGCCAAGCCAUUGAUUUGAGGCAUUUGGAGGAGAACUUGAAGAGCACGGUUAAGAACACUGUGAGUCAGUUGGCCAAGAGGCUUUUAACUACCGGGGUGAAUGGAGAGCUUCACCCUUCGAGGUUCUGUGAGAAGGAUUUGCUUAUGGUUGUCGAAAGGGAGUACCUUUUCGCCUACAUUGACGAUCCUUGCAGCGCUACAUAUCCGUUGAUGCAAAGGCUAAGGCAAGUGCUUGUUGAACACGCCUUGACAAAUGGUGAAAAUGAGAAGAACGCAAACACUUCAAUUUUCCAAAAGAUUUCGGCAUUUGAGGAAGAGCUUAAGACCAUUUUGCCUAAAGAGGUUGAGAGCGCUAGGGCUGCAUGCGAGAGCGGUAAUGCGGCGAUUCCAAACAGAAUCAUCGAGUGCAGGUCAUAUCCUUUGUACAAAUUUGUGAGGGAGGAGUUGGGGGGAGAGUUCUUGACGGGCGAAAAGGUCAGGUCACCCGGGGAGGAGUGUGACAAGGUAUUCACAGCUAUGUGCCAGGGGAAAAUCAUUGAUCCAAUUCUCGAUUGCCUCAGUGGUUGGAACGGUGAACCUCUUCCGAUAUGCUAGCUUUCUGCUGCCCGAUUCUUUUGAUGUGUGUCAUUCUGUUCCACUUCUUCUGUCUCCAUAGUCUUAAGUUUGAUGAGGAUUCCUAGCUUUAAUCGUGUGACUAUAAUACCUAAUAAAAUGUAAAACCAUAUGUUUAUUUGAAUAGUUCAUCUUUCUCACGUUAAUAGUAACUAUUGUAGUGUCCAAACAAACCAAGAAAUCAAGAAAUGCAUCCGUCUCUUCUCUCAAAUCUCUGGUCCCCCAUAAUGGACAUAAGUUUAUCCUCUUUCUUCUGACAGAGAUCAAUCAACAAGCUUCUGAUAUGCAGAGCUAGAUAAGGUUAGUAAUUGGUUCAAUCCAAAAGAAGCACUAGUUCUAAACCUGGCUACAACCACAAGAUCAAAAGCAUCCAUAAAGAAACACACUAAGAGCAAUCAUAAAAUGGAAAAUCCCACAUCAGAUUCUGCACCAUAUUUACAGAUGGGCAAUCUGGAAUCAUAUUUAAGACCAUAAUUGAGAGGGACCAUUUGAGUCAGCCUCCAUCAAUAUAAUGAAUAAUGCCCUUUUCUCUGAGCAUGCCAAUUUGAGACCAUAAACAAGGGGGAGGGAAUUAUAGGUGCAAAUUCUCAAACACAAAAUUUGUUGAAUUUGUAAAGGAAAAUAGAUUGAUGAAAAUACAUAUGUGCUUGCUUUUGCUGCAACAAUGACAAUGCAGUGGAUGUUCAGACCAAAGAAUGUAGUGGAAGUUUGCUGUGCUUGUGAUAGCUAGUGUUCAACUCAGGUCUUGUCUGCAUCAAUAACGUCUUGAGAAACCGACCUCUUACGAGUAGUUUACUCGAACAAAACGGAACAAUCGAAUCAACCAACAAAAUUUGGCAUGCCACUAAUGUGCAAUCCAUAAAUUUUCUUCCGUAUAGCAUGAAUAAGCAUUUUACUUCUCUAUUUUCGUUCGGUAUAUAUGAUCGUUUUGCGAGAACUUCACUGCUGGCAAUUUGGCAUGCACUAUUCUGGGGAAUAUGCUAGUGAUUACCAAAAUAAAACGUGUACUUUGGCCUACUAGUGAUGAAGCGAUCAAACUGGAUGCAGAUCAGCAGAAGUGAGAAAUGAAAUAGCUAGAUAUAUCAUUUUAGGGACAGAUGAAAACAACAAGACGAUGAUAGUAACGGCUAACAAAAAAAAAGUACAACCAUGAACUACCUCAGGAUUUCCCGUCCAUUAUAGUUUUACCCCAAAUGUUUUCAAGAAUCAAGACUACAAUUACAUCCAAAAGAAACAUAAAAAGAUCCUAGAUGUUGGCAAUUCCAUCAUUGUCGCCCUUUCCUACCUUUGACAAUGUACGUACGAAAGCUUUCCAUCAAAGUUCCCCUUGCAUUCAUGGUAUUCAUAAAACUCUGAUUUCGAAACUAAGAACUACUAGUCCUUAAAGAUGACACCAUAGCAACGAGUCAAUGACACUUGGGUUGCUUGAAGUCCUGGAACCACCUAUCUGAGUUUACUGCUAAUUUGUUACAUGAAUCAAGUAAAAAUUCUUCUAUGCACGACGUGUAAGUACACUGCAUAAUCCUAGUCAUUUAUAAAUCAUAACAAUUUAUAUGUAGAUAUCACCAUGAAUAUGUAUUAUAUUUUUGUAAUCGGUAAUCGAUAAAUACCUCCCUUGGCCCACAAUGCUAUGAAGCCCAGCAUGAGGUAGAUCGAGCAGGCCUCAUCCUGGAAGCUACAACAGUCUGGGCCGGGAGAGAGGCGCUCCACAGAAGGCCAAAUAAACAGACCUCAGUAGUAUAUUUGUCCCACAUCGAAUAACAAGUAAGAUAUAAGUCAACGCGGGGCUAUAAAUACAAUGCUGAAGUCAACCAAAACGGUAAGAAAUCUCCUAGCAUUAAAUACUCUACCUACCACAUAACUAACUUAAUUAUCGGAGAGAGAAAGACCGGAAAGUCCUGGUCAACCUCCACUUGCAAGUAUCUAGUCAACAACAAUCAAAGAGCAGAGAUCACGCCAAAGAGCUUCUACGAGGUCUACGGGAUCUUGCAGAAAUAAUUGGCGUCGUCUGUGGGAAUCUCUUACGAAAAGCCAGCGAGUCUCGAUAGCUGAGUCAAGUGAACUAAUAGAAGGGAGCAUGACAAUGUUGGAAGACCAUCGCGGUCUAAGUGAGGAGAGAACAUCGAGGACCACUGCUCGGAAUGAAGGGUCGGGUGAGAGGCUAGAGUGUGAACCCAUUGGGAAUGACCGGGAAAGGACCCCAGACGGAACAUUUGCACGAUCUCACGUAGGAGGAAGUUGAGGAUACGGUUGAAAGGCUGCGGGCGGACGUGGCGCGUUUGGAGAGAGAGAGAGAGGACCCAGGAUUGCUUAGAGGCAACAGUUCGAGAGAAAAAAUUGGAACGAGAUAAUGACACUAUAAUCAGUGCGUUGGCACGAAGGUUAGAAAAUGACGAGGCGAUCGAGCGGGCGGCAGCCACCCUCUGAGAGCAACAUACAGAGGGUCGGGGAUCCUCCGUGAUGCCGCCGACAGCCCAUAGAACAGUCCAUGUUGGGGCCAAUCUGUUCCCAGAAAGCGUGGAAGGAGAGGGUCCGCCACUGCUCCUAACACCCGUUGAAGAGAGGGUGCUAGAGUCAAAAGGAGUAAAGGCGGCCCUGAUGGCCAUGCGGGAUAGUGUGGUGAAUCUAACCACGAGAGUAAAUGAAACAGAAAGGCGAGCGGCACAUAACCUGCCAGGUAUGGGAUUCGAGGAAAGAGGGGGACCGUUCACAAAGAUCAUCACGCAGACCUUGCGCUCUCAUGCGGCUAAGCCAUUGAAGUUGAGCUACGGAGGCGAAGGGGACCCGCAUCUCUUCCUGGAUAGUUUUAAGUCCCAUACUAACGCUAAAGAUUACUCAGAUGCCAUGUGUUGCAACAUGUUCCAGGAGACACUGUCAGGAGAGGCACUGAGUUGGUUUUACGAGCUCCCGGCCGGAUCGAUAGACAGUUUCAGGCAACUGGCAGAUAGGUUUGUGAACCGUUUCAUAUUGCGUAUGGAUGGGCAGAGCACCCCCCAGCUGUUCAAAGUGAAACAGGGACAAGGUGAAGGGCUAAAGGCCUUCGUGAAUCGCUGGCAGGGAGCCACCGCUAAGAUGAGAAAUUUCGACAAGAAGGUGGCGGAAGAAGCAUUUGUUUAAGCCCUGUUGCCCGAGAAAUUCAUGUAUGCCGUAAAGAUUGAAAACCCGCGGGAUUAUGACGAAUUGAUGGAGAUGACAAUCAAGCAUGCCUAAGCAGACCAUGAUACGCAUGGGGAUCAGUACGUCGGCAAGAGAAAGGAGGAUAGGAGGUCCGAGUCCCAGGGGCAAACCAUCCAAGAAGUAAGAACAUGGAAAGGGGAUCAGGAGGGACAAGGUUUCACCCCCAGCAAAAGGUAUAAAGCGGGAGGUAGGAAGCAGGCCAAGCAGGUAGGAGGCCCGCAGGGAAAAGGCAAAGGGGGUUAUCAGGACGGCGGGUUCAAAGCAGUGGCUCCCGCAGCUAGAGAAAACUUCACUACCUUGAUGGCAACUCCCGAGGUAGUAUGGAACGAGAACAAGGGCGUAAUCCUAGGGCCACCGAUGAGGAAGUUUCCGCCAUCCAGACUGACAAGGGAGGACAACGGGAAGUACUGCGGGUAUCACGGAGAGGCCACACAUGCAAUUAACAACUGUGUAGAGCUCAAGAAGGCGAUCGAGGGCCAGCUAAAAGGGGGGAAACUGCAGCAGUACGCAUGGGUCAGCAGAAGGAGGCGGGGUUCCGGUCUACGGGACGAUCAACACUAUCCGUGGGGGAGCACUGUUAGACCAGAAGAGUAACAAAGCAAAGAAACAAUGGGCCGAGAUCAGAGAAGGUUGAGAAAUAUUCACCUUCGGUAGCUGCAACAAUCAGCAUGUCAAGGUGAGCUGGAGAUCGGUGACAUUUGAGGAAGGAAAAGAGCAAGGAAUCAGGCAGCCCCACGAGGACCCGUUCCUAGUCACCGCGCAGCUGGAUCAUUACCUAUUCAAGAAGAUCCUAAUUGACAUCGGGGCAUCGGUGAAUGUACUAUUCAAAAACGCAUGGCAAGCAUUGAGAAGAGGGAACAACAAGGUCAUACAGGACAAUGAGCUGUUGAUAAGCUUCUCCGAGGAUGUGGUGCAACCUCUGGGCUCGAAUCAUAUUCCUGUGAUCCUGGAGAGCGUAGAGGGGAACACGUUGACAACAGGGAUAGAUUUUAUAGUCGUCGAUUGUGACUCAUCUUACAACGGGAUAUUGGGGAGGCCGACCCUGUGGAAGGUGAAGGCGUUCAUUGCUGGGCACAUACUGUUGAUGAAAUUACCUUUCCCUGCGGGUAUAGUGACCAUCUGGGGGGAUCAGCUGGCAGCGAGAGGAUGCUACGCCAUCGACCAAGAUAAUGGAAGGAGAAGGGCAGAAGUGUUAGUUUCAGGGAACCCGGUGACCCUCGUGACGGAUGCCUACGAGGAUCCGAGGAUUAAUGCCGCAACUGAGGGAACCGAAGCCGAAAAGCCAGGAUCUAUCGAGGAAACGGAAUUGAUCUGCAUCUCAAACGAGUUCCUAGCAAGGACAGCAAGAAUAGGGACAGGGUUGCCUCCCGGAGUGAAGGAGGAGCUUAAGUGCUUUCUAAAUGCCAACAGCAAGGCAUUUGCCUGGUCAUAUGCAGAUGUCCCCGGGAUCUUGAAAGACAUAGUGACACACCGGUUGGGAAUCCGAAAGGCGUGCCCCUGGUGAGGCAAAAACGCAGGUCGUUUGACUUGGCGAAAUAUGAUAUCAUCAAGGGAGAGGUACAGAGGCUGUUGGACAUCCAAUUUAUCAAGGAAGCUAGGUACCCACAGUGGUUGGCCAACGUGGUCAUGGUCCCAAAGAAAGUAGUGGGGCAGUGGAGGAUGUGUGUGGAUUAUACUAGCCUUAACAGGGCCUGCCCCAAGGACAGCUUCCCGUUGCCACGAAUAGACCAACUCGUUGAUUCCACCUCCGAGUUUGAGAUGCUAAGCUUCAUGGAUGCAUAUGCAGGCUACAAUCAGAUAAUGAUGAACACAACAGACGAAGAGCACACUGCGUUCACCAUCGACAAAGGAGUGUAUUAUUACAAGAGGAUGCCAUUCAAUUUGAAGAACGCGUGAGCAACCUACCAACGCCUUAUGAACAAGAUGUUUGCUAAGCAGCUGGGAGUAACCAUGGAGGUGUACGUGGAUGACAUGUUGGUAAAAAGUCUUACCGCGGUCAAACAUGUAAGCGACUUGCAAGCAGUCUUUGACAUUAUCCUAACGUACGACAUGAGGCUGAAUCCAAACAAGUGCUUGUUUGGAGUUGUUAAAGGAAAGUUCAUGGGCCACGUGAUCAGCAGGCAAGGGAUCGAAGCGAACCCGGAGAAAGUUCAGGCUAUACUGGAUAUGGAGGUCCUAAAGAUCAGAUGUGAUGUGCAGUCCCUGAUGGGCAAGAUAGUGGCCCUCACUAGGUUUGUCUUUAGACUCACGGACAAGUGCGCACCGUUCUUUAAAUUGCUGAAGAGUUAGCACUGCAAGCUAAUCAAUUGGGGACCCGAGCAGGAGGAGGCUUUCAGGAAAGUCAAAGAGUAUCUGGCAUCGGUACCAAUGCUCUCAAAGCUGAUUCCCGGAGAAAUGUUAUACCUCUAUUUAGCAACGUCAGAUACAGCAGUAAGCUUGGCCCUGAUUAGGAAAUAUGAUGUCAUCAAGCUCCCGGUAUAUUACGUGGGCAAAGGUUACACCUUGGCAGAGAGUAGGUACUCGGACCUUGAAAAAUUGGCUUUGGCACUCAUUGUAACCACCCGGAAGUUACGACACUACUUCCAAGCGCACUCCAUCACAUUAUUCACCAACUGCCCUCUUCAGCAGGUUCUCCAGAAACCAGAGGCGAGCGGGAGAUUAGCCAAAUGGGCAAUAGAGUUAGGUGAGUUCGACAUACACUACAUGCCAAGAGUAGCCAUCAAGGGGCAAGCGGCUGCAGAUUUCAUCUCGGAGCUAACCCCUAUGAAAGAACACAAGGAGUACCCUGAGAUUGAGAAUGAGGUAACAGUGGCCCCCCGGAGCGUUGAGUUGGGUUGGAAGUUGUACAUAGAUGGCUCCGUAACUAAAGAUAAGAGUAGAGCGAGAAUAAUAUUGGUUAGCUCGAACGGGUUCAAAUACAAGUAUGCCCUGGAGUUCAAAUUCUCCACAUCCAACAACGCGGCUGAGUACGAAGCAUUAAUCGAGGGACUGCAGCUAGCACAAGAGAUAGGGGUCAAGAGUGUGCAAGUGUUCAACGACUCAUAGCUAGUGGUGAACCAGGUCAGCGACACCUUUGAGGCCAAGGAACCACAUCUGAACUCCUAUCUGGCAUUGACAAUGGCUCUCCUGGGCAGGUUUGAAUCUGCAACGGUCACUCAGGUCCCUCGGAAGGAAAAUAGUAACGCUGAUGGGUUAACAAGACUUGCCACCGACACCGGUCAAAAAAGGCGCAAGAAGGUGAAGAUCGAGAUCCUAGAUAGGCCCAACAUCAGCAAAACAAUCUCGGAGAUAUUCGCCAUCACCGUUGGCCCCAAGGAGCCCACGUGGAUGGACCCUAUCAUCGAGUUCCUUAAGGAGGGGUUCCGGCUAGAGAAUAGGCGACAGGCAAGAAAAUUGCAGUCGAGAUGUGCGAGAUACACGUUGAUAGACGGCAAGUUGUACCGCAGGGGUUAUUGUUUCCCCAACCUGAUGUGUGUAUCAGUAGAGGAGGGAGAGACAAUCCUACGGGACAUCCACGAAGGAGUUUGUGGCAAUCACUCUGGAUCAAGAUCCCUGUCUUUCAAGGCAUUAAGAACGAGAUACUUCUAGCCCAACAUGGGGAAGAUGGCAGAUUAGAUGUCAGCGAGAUGUCACAAAUGCCACCAGCACGCUAACAAGGUCCAUUCCCCAUCCAUCGCUCUCUCGAUCUUGAUGUCUCCAUGGCCGUUCGCGCAGUGGGGCUUGGAUCUGAUCGGGAAGCUCCCAACGGCUCCCGGACAGUACAAGUACGCCAUCGUGGCUGUAGAUUACUAUACCAAGUGGGUUGAAGUAGAGCCACUAAGUCGGAUAACCAUCGAGAGUGUAAAUAAUUUCCUCUUGAAAAAUGUCUACUGUAGAUUUGGCAUACCAGAAACAAUCAUAACCGACAACGGUACACAAUUCAAUAACCCGAAGCUCAUAGAAUUCACCGAGGACAUGGGAACUCGAAUGGUGUUCGCAUCGAUAGCACACCCAACGACCAACGAGCAAGUAGAGGCAGUCAACAAAAUCAUCAAGAAGCUGUUGAAGAAGAAGUUGGAUGAUGCCAAAGGGUUAUGGGCACAGAGGCUCUCGGAAGCAUUAUGGGCUAUCCGGACAACCGCGACGGAGUCAACGGGGGAAACGUCUUUCAGCCUAGCCUUCGGCACAAAGGCUGUCAUCCCAGUUGAGCUGAUAGUGCCAUCGGGAAGAGUUGAGGGCUAUAGUGAGGAAACCAAUGCAGAAGGACUCCAGCUGAACAUGGAUCUCAUCAAGGAGAAGAGGGAGAGGGCCGAUCUACACACCCAAGUGUACAAGCAACGAGUUGCCAGGCACUAUGACAGUAAGGUCAGGCCCCGAUCCUUGGGCCUGGGAGAUGAAGCAAGUGAUGACCCAACCAAUGGCCCUUGAUCUAAUUAACAUGGGAGGGACCUUACGAGAUAAUGGAGGAAGUUGGCCCAACCAUGUUCUAUCUGAGGGACUGAGAUGGCAUAAUCACCGGGCACCCGUGGAAUACCGAGCACCUUAGAUUUUACCCGGUUUCGUCGAAGUUCGACAGUGGGAAUUGUAAAUUAUGCCCACCGGGUUAGCUCGUCGACCCAGGAGGAUGUCUUCAUUUGUUUUGUACAACAACUAAUACAGAAAUGAAGAUGUUAAAUUCGUAACACUUGGGAGUAAAAUUAGAGUUACCAACAGUAUCCACUAAGUUCAAAAGGCAAAUAAAAGGGGAUGCCAGGUUCAACAGGUAAGUAAAUUUUUAUUUUCACCAGGCAAGUAAAAAAAACACAAAGGAAAACACAAAGAGGAAGGAAACAAGAUCCAUAGAGACAAGGAAUCAACUUGAACCAAUAAAUAAAAGGGUAAUUAUAUAUUAACUGGACUACCCGGCAAAAGAUUUACAUCACUGGGAGUAGGCUCGAGGCCACUAUUCAAUAUGAUGAAUCCAAAAAUUACAGUCCGGUAGAGUGCAAAUAAAAAAAAAUUAUCCUAAGCCUGGUCCUUCUCGGCUGGGUCACCAAGCUCUUCUUCAUCCUCGCUCUCGGACACAAUCUCCUCAUCUCCAAUAGUCUCAAGAUUAGUCUCGGGAGGACCCUCCGUGGGGACGGGCUGGGAGUCCUGAGCCUUAGCCUUUGCCUUUGAGGCGAGCAGAUCAGCCAUCAUCCGGGGCUUGUCCAGGUAUCCAUACUCACUCCACUCCGUGAACUUCUGUGUGAUGACACUAUCCCAGGCAGCUUUCAGAAGAUCUUUCAGCUUUUGAGAUUCUUGUAAUCCGCUACAGCCCGGUCGCAGAGCGAGGGGACAAGACGCUCAAUCUCCGCGAGCUCGGACUCUUUCUCUCAGAGUUUACUCUCCAACGCAGCGGCUCCUACUCGAAGCUUCUCGACCGCCAAGUGCAGAGACUCAACCUCGGCUUCAAGCUCUGGGACUCGGUUAGCCUUGUGUUUCACUUCCUAAACAUGCAGCUGAAGCAUCGCCAGCUUCUCAGCCAAUGCAUUUUUCUCCUUCUCCAGAGACCCCUUCUCGGUCUAAAGAUAGCUCACGUGACCGUUCAGCUUGGCCACUUGCUCCUUGAGUUCAAGGAUAUCCUCGCUGGCCUCGAUAGAGUACACCGUGUAGAGAGUCUGCAAGAAAACACAAGUUAAACGAAAGAAACAACCAUAGCAACAAAAAAGAAGAUGUCCCGAGCACUAACCUUCAUCAGAUGCUCUCGAGCAAUCUGUCGAGACUCGGAGGGAGACCCUUCCUUAAACCUCACUCGGUCGAGGUCAAUACCCUUAAGGUCCCGGAUCAUGGCGCGCAUGAACUUCUCGUUCGCGCACCCGUAUUCAUCAAGGACUUGCCUGAUUGGGGUCUUCGUGAUGGUAGGAAGGGGAGGGGCCAGCAGGGACAGUGAGGGAGUAGAACCUCUGGAUGCCAACUUAUGUCUCUUCGGGUUUGGGGCAAGGUCCCUGGAGACAUCCUUCCCGGUGAAGGUCACCUGGGAAUCCAGAACAGCCUGGUCUUUCUUCUUCGAGUGGUUGUGGUGGCGCUUCUUCUUCUCGCCCAGAUUCACAACCACAUUGGAGCUUCCUAGAGGAGGCGGCGGCGGCGGAGGAGCCGUUGUCCCGUAGGCAGAAUCCGGGACUUCCAGUGCGUGUCCAGGUCCACCUCUGUACGGAAGGCGGUUUCCCCCAUUGUUAGCAUCUUCUCAAGGAGAUCAUGGUCUUUCUCCAUAUCGAGCUGGUGAUUAGGACGCGGGACACGUCGAUGGAUUUUUCCUAAAGGGAAAGGCCAUAAGUAUUUGAUCCAACAUGGUAUCUAACAUAAAACAAGGAAACAAUGCAGAAACAACACGAGCAAGUUAUGGAACCCACCGGGCAGUCUACCCAUCUCACAGUGUACCAACACAGCCCAUCGGGUCAGGUGAUACGAGCUACGGUUCUCCUCGAUGGCCACACAACGAAAAUACGAGCGAUGCGCUCCCGCUCAAUUAAUGUCAAAGAAUAGUUUUGAUCCCCAAUGGCCUAAAAAUAGUUGGGAACGGUAUGCCGUCUAGUAUUAAGUUGCCAAGAGCCGCCCACCAGGACAAUCUUAGCGCCACUCUUUGUAUAUAGAGGACAGAAGAUCGGUGAUGACAGACUCGUAGUCCCGCGCGGUAAAGUUAAUGCACCCAGAGCUCCCGGCCUUCUUCGAAUAUGACAACCGGUUCAGAGCGCGGAACUCGUUAAUCGUGCGCCACCCCAUGUUGGAUAGAAAGUACAAACAUCCGAGUCCUAGGAGCUAGCGCCAUUGAUUUGGAGGUACCUGCCCGGGAGCCAAUUGCAGCAUGCUCAAUAUGUAUUGGACGUAUUGAGGAAGCGGCACCGAGAACCCGUUCCUAAACAUAUUGUCAUGCACUGCGAUGAAAUUAUCUCGAGGAGCGCAGGCUAAUUCUCCGGGACGUAAUCCGCGCAGUGGUAGGUCUGAGGGAAUGUCCCACUCCUCUCUAAAACGUCUAAUAUCCUUAGGCGUGAAGCUACACGCCGGUUCGUCACAGACCCUACCAUCCUCCAAUCGGUGUAGGGCCCGGGUGAUGGGUAUAGCCUCAAAAACUACCCCCGCGCCAUUGUCUUGAGUGGGAACAUCUGUGUGGUCAGGACUCGAGCAAGAAGACUCAAAGGGAGAAGAAGCCCGAGAGGCCAUUGAGAUGAACCGGAGCCACUAGCGCCAGUUGCCCUAGGAUCCAUUUACCCUAGACAAAAAACGUAAGACCUAUUAGUUUUACCUAGCCACGCUGCCACCAACAAGAAGAUGCACAACUCGUGCGCGACCCUAACUCACACAAGCAAGAAACCAAAAAACCAGAAAAAUACCUAGGUUUGAGCCAAAAACAAACAACCCACAAUCUAUCCACAACCUAAACCAAACGCUUGCUUUGAAAUAUGAAAAACAAGGAGAGACAGUACUCACCAGAUAGUAAAGGCUAGAGUCUCGCUGGAGCAGGAAUCGGAGCGCACCUUGCAAUUGUAGAAAAUUGGCGACAGAACAGACGAAAAGCUUUUCUUUCUCUGCAGACUUUGAAAAGCGCUUCGAAACAGAGAACACGAGGCAAGCAAAAGAAAAAAAACAAAGAAAAAGAGUGUAGAUAGUGAAAAACGAGUGCUGACAGUGAAGAAAACGAAAGAGAGAACAGAAGAACGGAAGAGGAAUGAAACAGAGAAGCAGAAGAAGAAACUGGGGGGACUUAGGCAUAUAUACGAAACGGGGGGAAAAGGUACGCCUCGGUUCCCACCCUCCCCCCCCCCCCCCCCCACCUGCAUUAAAUAAGUAAUUUGCUGCAAAUGUGGAAAUCGGAGCCAUUGAGCUCCACUGUAAGAUCACGCCACAUGUCCCACUAAGCGGUAGCUUCUUGAAGAAGAGAGGAUUGAAACGACGUGCAUUAAUCGCACGUCCCUUCAGUCCCUCACCCCCCCCCCCCCCCCCCCAACCGCCACUUGGAGAACAUGCAAUUAAUACUCUGACAGACAACCACCAGCCCCGGCUGCUAACCCUAAAGCCACAGUCCGGGAUCCCGUAUUCAACUCUCCGGGACUGGUUGCCCUUGGAAGAAGUACUGCACAAAACAUGUUGAUGCAAACGUCCCAAACGCUCCCAGAUUAUUCUCACUGGGAGGAAACUUGCAACGACUGCAUGAAAUUAUUACGUCGGAUAAGUCAUCACCGAGAGGCAAACCAUGAGGCAUAAUUCAUAAUUCACCGAGAGGGAGACCACAGACCCACCAGUAAAUCCAGCGGGAUCAAACUGAAAAUAAUACGACCUGAAGAAAUGAAAUUUGGAAGUCCCGGAUAAGAACUAACUGGAAGACACAUACAACUUCAUAUUCACACCCGAGCAAGAACUAACGGGCGAAGCAUACCACUCCGGAAACGUACCACCGAGAAGCAUGGGCAACAACUGGAACCAUGAGAACCGUAAGUCCCUUGUACAGCUCCCGGAGAGAUGGAGUUGGGCAGUUCAUAUUAUUCCCUUCACACGGAGAAUAGUGGCCUGAUAACCCAUGCAGGGAUAAUACCCUGCGCUCGAGCAAGAACACACAAUAUGGAAAGGCUCGCUACCUUCCAUUGCAACAACAAUCCGUUCAAACAUGUCCUGUGUACGAACUUGGGGGGACUAGAAACGGGUACCUGUUGAAAAUCUAACAAAUCGUGGGCCACUUCAUGUCCCCACUCAAGACAUGUCUUGAACGGGAACUUGGGGGGACUUGUAAUCGGUAGUCGAUAAAUACCUCUCCUGGCCCACGAUGCUAUGAAGCCCAGCAUGAGGUAGAUCGAGCAGGCCUCAUCCUGGAAGCUACAGCAGUCUGGGCCGGGAGAGAGGCGCUCCAUAGAAGGCCAAAUAAACAGACCUCAGUAGUAUAUUUGUCCCACAUCGAAUAACAGACAAGAUAUAAGUCAACGCGGGGGUUAUAAAUACAAUGUUGAAGUCAACCAAAACUGUAAGAAAUCUCCUAGCAUUAAAUACUCUACCUGCCACAUAACUGACUUAAUCAUCGGAGAGAGAAAAACCGGAAAGUCCCGGUCAACCUUCUCUUGCAGGUAUCCAGUCAACGGUAAUCAAAGAGCAGAGAUCAUGCCAAAGAGCUUAUACGAGGUCUAUGGGAUCUUGCAGAAACAGUUUUUGAAUCUUAAUCAUUCAUGUAUGUAUAUACAUACACGUUGUGUACUGAAGAUACUAUGUCAAUCAAGUGAUGUAAGAGAGGUUUCUUUCCCAUAAAUUGCGAAUCUAAUUAGUCAGCCAUGUACAGAGCGUUACACAUGCAAAAGAGAUAAAACCAAUGGUAGUUCUAUGUUGUAUUUCAUCGCAAAUUUGUAUACACAGUUCAAUUACAUAUGAGAGUACUCUCGAAUCACCUUAUUAGUUCACGUAAGCGUGUUCAAGGGAACACCACUUCUGAUAUAUAUCGUUUUAUCAUUAUGGCUAUUGGAAAGAUAUCACUAUCACUUCUGCAAAGUUUGGUUGUAGCUACGCCACUGAGUGACCUGGUGAGUGGUGACCAUUCCAUCAAAAGCUAACGUUAUUUUACUGUUCUUCGUUUUCUGCAGGUAAAUAAUUCAUGGUGGGGGGUGGAGGCGUGAAUCAUGCCUUGAUUGCUAUACAUCAAUCGAAAGAGCCUCUGCUACGCUGAUUCAGCUGACUUCAUGUGUGAUAAUCGAUCGACGUAUGAUUCUCCUCUGACCUAUAUAGGCAUUGUCGAAAAAGUAAGAGCAAGUCCAACAGAUUCUUUAAAUUGUUUAAUUUUUUCUAUUUUGAGAAAUAUGAGGUCAUUUUUUACUCUAACAGUUUCCUUAUCUCAUUCUCUAAAAUAAGAAAAGAGAUAAAAGAGAAGGUUUGCUUCCCUAUAUUUAUAAAUUCUCUAAAAAUAUUUAGGGAAAGAAUAAUUGAAUGUUGCACAUUCUUCAAGGCUCAAAAAUAAAAAAUAAAACAUAAUUUAUUCUAAAAAAAUAAACUUUUAUAUUUUUAUACUUAUUAUUAUAUUGUAAUAAAUAAGAAUUGUUGUUAUAAUAAAUAUUUAAAUCUUUAAAAUAGGGACACUGUUGGAUUUGGUAUACAAAAUUUUUAGAGAUUUUAAGUUUUGAUUCUCUAUUAUAUGAAAAAUGUAAAGAAGCUCUUAGAAUUGCUCUAACAAAAUGUAAAGGCCUACUUCCAACCAAAUUUGGAGGUCUUGAAUUAUUGCUUAGGAGGAUUUUUGCUCACGGUGCAAAAUGACUGACAAGCAUGUGGAACUGACCCAGACAAAUACAUCUUGUCAAAAAAAAAAGGACCCAGACAAAUACACAAACAAGAUCGACAUAAUGCUUAACGUUCACAUGCCUUCCUUCAAUGCGUAGUAGACAGUCGCCUUGGAAUUAAUUCAUUUCCACAUGCAUCUUUGGGUUGGAACUGGCCGGCAUGUUGGUGAUCGAUUAUAGUUUCAAACCAAAGGCAAAUGGAAUAGAGUACAUAAUGUCGAAGAGUCGAUCGAUCUUGUAUCACUACCGAUCCACAAGACACGUACAUAAACAAAUGAACUCUAGAAAGAUGUGAACGAAGCAGCUAAUUACGAAAUUAAACCAUCCAUUUAGAAAUAUCAAUAUCGGUUCGACAAAUUUUCUAAAGACAAAAAAAUUACUUUUAGUUCCGCAAACCAAACGAUACCUUAGGGCAAAAAGAAUAUAGUAAUUGGCUCCAUGUUGAUGGAUACUUGUCUACCAAGGUAGGUAUUGGGUAUCAGUUGUUGAUGUGUGUUGCGUAUGUAUAACAUUGGGUUUUCAAAACACUAACAAACAUAUAAACAAUGUGCGUUCAACUUCAAAUUGUUCGUCCAAACUCUAAAGGCAAGUNNNNNNNNNNNNNNNNNNNNUUGGUUGGUCAUAGAUGACCACCAAAAUUGAUGGUUAGCAAAUUUGUUCCCUGCCCUUUCCUCUCUAGGUGGGUUUUCUCUCUAGAGACAACCACCUUGAGAAUCGGUGGCAGCUCCCCGCCAUGGACGCUGCCCAGAGUACAUCGAUGUUCCCUCUUUUUUAUACUGUCAUCUCUACCACGUCGCUUGCCUACAUUAAUUGUGUCCUUUCCUUUUGCUUUUCCUUUCGGUUUCCCUUGUUGAGUUUCCACCACCUCCUCCACCAUCUUUUUCCAAUUUGAUAUCUUUGUCUGCCAUGGCAGAGGGGAUUUUGCGGAAUGAAAUUUGCUGUGCCCAAAAACCCAGUACCAAAUCUGUGUCAUCUACUAAAUUUUGACACAUGUCUCCGACUUAAACAGACAUUAACCCUAUUAACCACAAUGUUAUCUUCUAAUAAAAAAAAAAAAAAAAAUUUUAAGAAGAGUACAUCAAGUAUGAACCACUGAGAAUUAAGAUGAAUUAACUUUACAAAACAUAAUAAUAGUACAUGUAGUUUAAAACCCAACUCCACAUAUAUACAUACAGUCAGUUUGACUGUUAGUCUGCUUGAUUCCGUCAAUUUUAUGAGGACAAAUCCGUCUCUUAAGUGAUACUGAAGAAACACAAAAAAAAAAAAAAAACAGAAAAUGCAGACUUGGCCAAUCUCACUACUACUUUUUUCCACUACCUUCAUAUUGUACGUCAAUCAUUUUCUUCGAAUACCGAUCAAAUAAGAACCCAUCACAUAUAUAGAUCCAAUCUUUGUCUUUGUCUUCCAAACAGAUACAAAAUGAUUAGAAUUUUGCAUCAAUAAUGAAUAUAAGUGGUAGGGUUUUCUGGUGUUGAGAUUUUUGAUGAAGGUUCUAACAUUUUGGUUUGAAGAGUGAGAAGUUGAUGAUUCAAACCCAAAAGCUUGGACUAUCAAUACGACGAGUGAGGGGAGACUGGACACCCACAAAACUAAUCUGGGUACCCUUCUCUUCAUCUUCAAGCACAUACAUGAUACAUCCCUCAUCCGCGAUUGCAACCCAAGUCUACUUCUGAUUGCUCUUUCCGGCCACUCCUCUACGGUUGCAUUCGGACUAUCUUGAUCUCAGAUCCGAAAUCAUACCAAAAGCUAUAAAUAUCAGAACUCUAUCACAAAUCAAACUUUCUUGAACUCAAAUCCAAAAUUAAACCCGACCCUUCCAAAAUCUCCACCAAGAAUCUGCUCACAAGGACCUUACUGGGAGGGAGAGAGAAACUGAGUUAUGGGUCUUUGGAGGAGAAGAGAUGGGUUAUGGGUUCUCUAAAGUAGAGAGAAAUUGGAUUGUGGUCAUCAAUGGAGAGGAAGGAGGAGUUCUGGGUGUCAGAGAAGGAAAAGGAGAAGGAGAGAGAAUGUGAGAGGGAGAGAUGGAAUGACCGUUGCCCUUUGAAAAAUGAACAAUGGCAUAAGGGUUAAUGAUGUUAGUAACGGUAGGUACUAAAAGUGUGUAGGAUUUUCAACCUUAUGCACCAUUGUGAUGUUUCAUGAAGUAUAUUCACCUUAAUUCUCAGCGACUCAUACUUCCUGUUUUUAAAAUUUUUCCAAAAAAAAAUUAAGGAGUACGAGACAUGCUGAACUAAUUUUCUAGUAGAACAAGUGUUGGCUGUUCCUCAUAAUUUUAGGAGAUUUGUCAAUUUAAAUGUCAUCUAGAGGAGAUGUACCAUUUUUUAGGAGAUUCGUCAGUUUGAACAAGUGUUGGUUGUUCCCAACAAUUCCAUUCAUAACUCGUUAAAAUCACGAUGCUUUAAACCAUAAACAAAAUGCCCAGUAGCUCACUACAACAAUCAAACACAACAAGUUCAAUCCUAAUUGUAAUUACUCAAUGAAAACUGAAACUAGACCCUCCGCUUUUGUAGUGCUUCCUCCUCUUCGUCGUAAUACCUUUUCAAUUCCUCUCAUCGCAAUCAUAUCUCUUCUUUGUAAGGCCAAAAGAUCAGACAACGAACAUAAAUUGGGAAAUUAGUAUGGGUUUACGAACAUGAACAAAAAUUGAAACCACGACAGUUAUAGUCGUUGGAGUGGUGAAGAAAAAUUCUGGGUUAUUGUUUCAGAUCGAGAGUUGCAGAGAGAGAAGAAAGAAGAAGGAUAAGGAUAAACAUGGAAGAGAAAGAGGAAGAGUCAAACUUAAUUCCAAUUUUUUUUUUAUUUGAAGAUAAACGUUAUGGUUAACAGGGUUAAUGUCUGUUUAAGUCGAAAACAAAUGUCAAAAUUUAGUAGGUGGCACAGGUUUGAUACUGAGUUUUUGGGCACAACAGAUUUCCUUCUGGAUCUAAUUUUUGCUACCCACGAAGUUUACUGCAUCAUAUUGGAGGCUUCACUUGGAAUUACCUUCCUGUUGCAGAUUUAAUUAGUAGGAAGCCAUUCUAAUAAGGGCUUUUAUAAUGAGGACUAGUUUGAUGACUUUUUGGUGUAUGGUUUAAAUAACUAUUUUUCGAUCACAUUUUGACAUCUUAUUCGUUCAAUUUUUAGCUCUAUAUGAGUAUAUCACUUAUACAAAUUUUCAGCCAAAUUGAUAAUCGUUAAGAUAAUAAACUAGAUCAAAUUAAUAGACGAAUCAAAUCUGUCAAACAUGAACUGUUCAAGUUCAUAAUUGGUAAAUCAAAUUUAUAAAUGUCUAAACGAUUCUCAAAUAAUCUACUCAUAAAUACAUAUAAACUGAACGGUCAAUAUGUGGAUAUAAGAUGGAAAAACGGAAUAAGCCGAAAAGUCCUCAACUAGUCCUCAUUAUAGAGGUCUUCAUUAGAAGGUCUCCCUUGCAUCAGAUCGGAGGCUUCACUUGGAGUUACCUUCCUGUUGUAGAUUUAAUUAGUAAAAUGAGUAAACUUUGAUACGAUGUAUGUUUAUAUUUUGUUCGUUUUCUUUAAACUUAAACGUUCAAGCUCAAUGUAUAACAAAUUGAAAUGAACAACAAAGAUGAAUAGAUCGAGCUUGAACACUAAAAAUAUCAGUCUAGUGAAUUAAUCUGUAGUUUGUAUAUAUAUUAUUAUGAAACAACUUAGUAACUCCCUUUGAAUCGAUCAUGUUUGUAGCGAUCUUAAAUGAUAAAAACCUGAGUCAGGUAGGAAUAUAGUGGAUGUGAUACUGAUUACUGAACACUAGUUAUGGGUACCGAACCAAAUUAACAAGUCCUCAAACCCAAUAGGCCCCUAAAAGAAUGGGCCGGAUUUUGCUAGUGGUCUCACAAGUCAUAUGUCUCUUCUAUUUAUGCAUAAUUGUGCUUCACAGUUCUGAGAUUGCCCAGUAUUACUGGUUUGGAACUAUGGAUGUUCGAGCAAGCUUAGACUGUAGGAUUUUGAAAGCUAGUCCUAUUGACCUAUUGGACACAUCUCUAAGCAUUUUGGUUAGAUCAAGCUCUGGACCUCAUUUGAAAAUAAACAAUGGGAAAACACUUGAUGCAUGCCACAAUCCAUGUAGGAUUUUGAAACAAGUCACAAAAACAAUCGGAACAAACCAUAACAUUUAUGACACAUUUACUUACAUGAAAUGAGAAUGGUGAGUGUAUGAGAUUUUGCGCGUGUACUAACAUAUGUAGGUAUGGGAAUGAUUCCAAUGUAUGAGAUUCUUGCUAAUAUGAAGUUUGGUCAUGGUUAUUGGAGUGAAAACAAGUUUUCCAUCCCUUUCAACUCUGGUGUCAUUUGACCAUUUAUUGUCUCAAAACUCUUGAUGUCUGAUAUCUGUUUUUUUAAGUUUCACUUGGUACAUAGAUGCAAACUAAUGGUUGUAUAAAAGUGAAGAGCCAACGUACUUGUCAUUCACCCUAGUUUUCUUCAUUACAUGUUUCCAAAUCAAAAGUUCGAACUAGACAUCCAAACUUAAUUUUCAAUAGAAUCAACACAAUUUCCUAAAGCUAUAUAGACCCAAAACUAAUUUGAGCUAAGAGAUCAUAUUAAAAUGCCUCAUCAAAAAUAAAUUAACAUUAAAACUCCAAUAAACGUCGGCGAGACUCGUACCUCCGGUACAGGUCUCACACCUGUUAACGGAUCGUUAACCUAGCAGAAAGGUGGGAUAAAUAUUGACGUCAUUAAUAUUUAUAGAUAAUCCCAAAAAAUUGUGGUAAAAGAAUCCCACUAGCUGUCUCUGUUCAUUUUAUAAACCGAAAGGUCGGGGACUUAUUCUCUUCGAUCGCCCAAACAAACCAAAGCAGAGAGUCAUGGCUUCCCAGCUAUUGAGGCGCGUAAUCGGAAGCCGCUCCACCACCCACUUUCUCUCCGGCGCCGCGAAUCCUUUCCCGUCCUUACUCUCCUCCUCCUCGUCUCCCGCAGCUAGGGUUUUCUCUUCUACCUCCACUCCGAUCACCGCCACCCUCUUCCCCGGCGACGGCAUCGGCCCCGAGAUCGCCGAGUCCGUCAAACAGGUCCGCCGUCGAUCCUUCUUCACUUUCUUCUCUCCAAUUUCCAUUUAAGCUUCGUUUAUUCUGCAUUGGAGUUGUGUAUGUCUGUUUAUGCAUAUGUGUAUAUAGUUAGUUAUGUACACUCGCACUCAAUGAACUUGAAUUCUAGGGUUCCGAAAUUUAGAUUCUUUAUUAGAUAUUAAUUUCUUAUUAUGAUAAUUAUUUUUGACUGAUCGGUAUUUUUGUUUAGUGUGUUAUUGUUUUUGUUCACAAUUUGCUGAUUUGAUUCCUUGUGAAACUGUGCAAGUUGCUGUUUGUUUCUCUGAAAAUUUAUUUUCAAUGAGAAGUUUAUUAAAUCGUGACGGUGCAGUUUAGCAUUUUGAAUAAACUAGAUGUUAAAGUUGAAAGUACAUGCUUCUUAAUGCAAUGUCGUAAUUGAAAUCGCGAAUGGAUGUCUGAUGUUAGAUGUUGUUAUUCCUUGGAAUAUGGAUUACUUUGUUGUGGUGUAUAGUGCUGAUGGAGUUUGCAAUUGUGUUGAUCAGAUGUUGUUAUACCUUGGAAUAUGAUUACUUUGUUGUGAUUUAAAUUGCUGAUGGAAUUUUGCAAUUGUGUUGAUCAGAUGUUGUUAUACCUUGGAAUAUGAUUACUUUGUUGUGAUUUAAAGUGCUGAUGGAAUUUUGCAAUUGUGCUGAUGCAGAUAUUCAGAGAAGCUGAAGUCCCGAUUCAAUGGGAAGAACAUUAUGUUGGGGAGCAAAUAGAUCCCAGGACGCAGAGUUUUCUGACAUGGGAAAGUUUGGAAUCAGUACGGAGGAACAAGGUAGGCUUGAAAGGGCCAAUGGCCACACCGAUUGGGAAAGGUCAUCGUUCUUUGAACCUUACACUAAGGAAAGAACUUAACUUGUAUGCAAAUGUCAGACCUUGUUACAGCCUUCCGGGCUACAAGACUCGUUAUGAUGAUGUUGAUCUUGUCACUAUCCGUGAGAAUACGGAGGGGGAAUACAGUGGACUUGAACAUCAAGUAAGUUGUUAAAGAAUAAGCAGAUGAAUGUUAAUAUUCUUUUCAAUUUGUUGAUUAAAUUCUUUGUUUUAUGAUAGGUGGUGAGAGGUGUUGUUGAGAGCCUCAAGAUCAUUACCCGUCAAGCUAGUUUGAGGGUGGCCGAGUAUGCUUUUCAUUAUGCCCAGGCCCAUGGUAGAAAAAGAGUGUCUGCAAUUCACAAAGCAAAUAUAAUGCAGAAAACCGAUGGCCUUUUUCUCAAGGUUUACCAAUUGUUAAUCUAUAUGAAAACUAAUUUUCUUGAUUGUUUUCCCAAGUAUCCACAUAUUAAAUCUGGUUUGAUCUUUGCUUUCAGUGUUGCCGUGAGGUUGCAGAGAAGUACCCUGAUAUAGUAUAUGAGGAAGUUGUCAUUGAUAAUUGCUGUAUGAUGGUAUGAAUAUUUUAUUUAUAUAUUUAUUUUUAUGUCCUGUGGAAUAUAAAUUGAACUGCUUUUGUGAAAGUGAAGUUGAGAAAAUUAUAAUGGAAACACUAUACAAAAAAAGAAGAAAAGAAGUCAGGUGGGGAUAAAUAGAUUCAAUAAAAGCUACAGAAUUAUGAAUUAAGGACUGAUCAUGUCAGGUCCUGCACCUUGUUAGCAAUUUUACUUAUUCAUAUAUUGUGGGAUACUUUUUUUUUUUUGGUUUAAAUAAAACUAAAGCUGCUCAAUCUAAAUGCUUUAUCUUCUGCAGCUUGUGAAAAAUCCAGCACUUUUCGACGUGUUAGUGAUGCCUAACCUAUAUGGUGAUAUUAUUAGUGACCUUUGCGCUGGGUUGAUAGGGGGUCUGGGCUUAACACCAAGGUAUUUACAUUCGAUUUACACAGACACACACAUAAUGUGUGAGUAUAUGGAUUUUUGUUUUCUUCUAAUAUGUGGAUUGUCUUACAUUUUUGCCUUGUGCAUGCAGCUGCAAUAUUGGUGAGGGAGGUAUUGCCCUGGCUGAAGCUGUACAUGGAUCAGCACCUGAUAUCGCUGGAAAGGUGAAUAUUCUUGGACCUUGUGAAGUUCAGUUUGUACCUAUAUACUCACAAAAGAUCUCUAUUUAGCAUGGUCACCUAUCCCAUUGUUAGUUAUAAUGUAAUAUCUGGUAAAGUUUGGUGUAGCUUUUGCUCAGAAGGUUUAACAAAUGUUUAUUAAAUUGUUACCGUCCAAUUGAUAUGGCUUCCCUGUUUUAGAAUCUGCAGAUUAUUAAGGUCAUUCUGGUGAACCAGAAAGAAGCAGCCUAGAACCCUAAAUUAAAAGUCAACAUGGUUAAUGAAUGGGAGAACUUUUGUUUUUUUGAGAUUGUUGUUGAAUGUCUCUGUCCUUAGCCAGCUUUUGAUGCUUGAAAAAUUUGUGUACCUGACAAGGUUCUGAUAGGCUGUGAUCUUUUUGGGUCCUCUUGUGGUGUUUGACACUUCUACCUCGUUGGUGGGUUGGAAGUGAGCUCUGAAAUUUGGUUCUCAUGGUACUGUUUUUUGAUGUUAAGCUAUAUUGUGGUGCUGUAGCUACCGACUAGAUAAUGAAAGCCUUAUCAGACUUGGUAUCAUUUGAGUAUAUAUUAGUAUGAUUUGUUCCUUUUGAUAUUGCUUUUUGGCCACCACUCCUUUGUUUAUGAAAUAGCUUUUGUAUAUUAUGUUUUCUCCCAAGUUAAUUUUCCUGUGGUUGAAUGUUUACAGAAUUUGGCAAAUCCGACUGCUCUGCUUUUGAGUGCUGUCACCAUGCUUCGCCAUUUGGAGCUCCAUGAUAAAGCUGAUAGGAUUCAGGAUGCGAUCCUGAAGACAAUUGCAGAGGGCAAGUACCGUACAGCUGACCUUGGUGGCAAAUCUACAACUACUGACUUCACACAAGCAAUUAUCGGUCAUCUUUGAAAGGAUACUGCUAGGAUUUCGGUUUUUGCAUUGUAGUUAACCUAUUAUUUGUUGUGACUCCUUGUGGAGCCACGCUUCAAAAUUUUCUCAUACUGCUGUUGUUUCUGAUGGGGAAUAAGUUCACAUCAAAUUGGUGACUAUAAAGUGAUUCUUCUAGCCAUGGACAUAUCGGUUGUUUUUUUGAGGGACAAAAAAGUUGACACCGUUACCGUGAAUAUACUCAUAACUUUCCUGUGCAAUGUAUUUGACAAUAAGCAAAUGAUAUUUUGUUCAUUGGAGUCAUUCUGCCAUGGUUUUCCUGUGGUAUUGUGCGAUUUUUGUGCCAAAUGUUUCAUGGAAUAAAGGCAUCAGUGUGUUCAAGUUGUAUGGACAAUACUGCAGUCCCAAUAAUAUUUGACCGAGGGUAACCUGAGAAUACAAAUUUUUUUAUAUCCUUUUUUUCGAUGUGAAUUUUUCUAUCCUUGAUCCUCCUGCUUGUAGUAUUAUGAACUUAACCCUCGGUGCUUUUGAAGUUUUCAGUCAUUUGACCCUAUUACCAAUGAAAUGUAUGAGCAUCAGAUUGUGAGUUCUUUCGGUUUAAUGGUAUCAAUAUAUUCUUGGUGGCCAAGAAAGAGAAAUGUUCGAAAUCAUGUGAUUUGGAUCCAUUUUUUGUUAUUGCUGUUGUUGAAAAGACAAAUUUAAUUCAAUCUCAUGAUAAAUCGACAAAUUUUAUAAUAUUAAUCAUUUUAAAAAAUCAAUCGAUUACAGCAUGUCUAUCGAGAAUAGGUUUUAUCAAUAUUCAGUGUUCAGUAACCUAUGGUUCUGUUGUCGGUGGAAAAUUUUGAGGUUUUAAAUCAUAUUUUCGAAGAAAAACAUCAGCAUUGAGAAAUGAAAAAACCAAAACCUACAAAUGAGGAAAAAAAAGAAAAAAGGUAUGUAGUUGCUUUUGAAAAUUCCAAGUGCCCCCAGUGGGUUUGGUGAAAUAGCGAGAGAGCCACUACGUCACACUACCUAUAAAAGCACACACCCAUUUCGCUUGAGCAGAUCUGAUCUGAAUCUCGCUAUUGUCUUCUUCCCGUAAACCCCUAUCUCUCUCUCAGCUCACCUCUCCCAAUGGCCUCCGAAGGAAUUCUGCUCGGAAUGGGCAACCCCCUCCUCGACAUCUCCGCCGUCGUCGACCAUGACUUUUUGAAUAAGUAACACUCAAACUCAGAUCUACACAGCCUUUCGUUGUCUGAUUUAGCUUUCUAGUGUGUUAAUCUGUGAUUUGUGGCCUAAUCGUGUUUGGUUUUUUUGUGUGAAAAAAAAAACAGAUAUGAUCUCCAGCUCAACAAUGCGAUUCUGGCUGAGGACAAGCACCUCCCCAUGUAAGCAACUUUGAACUUUGCUCUGUGUAUGUAAUGUGUAUCUUGUGGCAUUGAUAUGAAUCUUGUUGGAAAUUGUGUUGCUUUUUUUGAGUGGUUCAUUGUGUCUUUUCUUGAUUUGCCGAUUUCGAUGAGAAAGAUCAUCAAAUCGAGCUUUGAUUUCAUUUCAUUGACAUGACUGGUUGGAAUUUUAAUGUGCACUGUUGCUAGUUUUGUGUAUGAAUAUGAAAAUGAACUAUGCUUUUAAGAGUAAAGUUAGCUUGUAUGCCAGCGGAGUUCAGCUUAAAUUGAAAACACAGAGUCUCUUUCACUUAAUAUGCCAUUCUUUUAGAGGCUUUAAUACGCCAUUUUUUGUAUAUAAUUUUGGUUGUCUGAUCACAAAGCAUUUUCUUUCAAAUCUUAACCGACAAAAAUGGAUGUAUAUCUCAGGUAUGACGAACUUGCAUCAAACCCUAACGUGGAGUACAUUGCUGGAGGUAAAAGCAUGGAUUACACUUGGUUUUGGGUUUCAAUGUUGUUAUUGUAGAUAUUCUAAGUUACUCUUUACUUUUCAUUGUUGCAGGUGCUACUCAAAACUCCAUUCGAGUUGCCCAGGUACUUAAGGAACUGUUUUUUUUUGGUGACGCUUGAGUAAUCUAAUCAUUUAUAUCCUUGUUUAAUUGUAAUGAUUUUCUUUGAACUAAAGUUAUCUUACUUUUCUGCAGUGGAUGCUUCAAGUACCUGGUGCAACAAGUUAUAUGGGCAGCAUAGGAAAGGAUAAGUAUGGUGAGGAGAUGAAGAAGAACUCAAAACUUGCUGGUGUUAACGUGAGUAUCUUCUUUUUCUAUAAUCCUUAUAUAAUGUGUGAUUAUGUACACAAACAAAGACACAAACUUUUGGAACUCUUGUGGUUUUAUAACUUGCAACAGUAAUCUUAGUUUUCCUCCAGAUUUGCUCCAACUUAUAUCUUUCCUCACUACCAUUUCCUUUUCUAAAACAGGUUCACUAUUAUGAGGAUGAGUCUGCACCAACAGGUACCUGCGGUGUUUGUGUAGUGGGUGGUGAAAGGUGAGCUUCUGUUCAAGUUUGUUCAAAAUAUUUCAUAAUAUGCUUGUAGUUGUAAUAGAUCACAACCUUAAAAGAUAAUCUCAGAAUUUUCAGCUUGCCGAACUGAUAAAUGUUGUGGGUAUGCAAAUGUAGGUCACUUAUUGCCAAUUUGGCAGCUGCUAACUGCUACAAAGUUGAGCAUUUGAAAAGACCAGAGAACUGGGCAUUGGGUGGGUACCCUUUCAGAUACUUGCUUCAGGCUUUUAAUUUCAUUUCUCUAGUAAUGCAUAUUUAUGAACUGAGCUUCUUUGUCAAUCCUGUUUGAGCAGUUGAGAAGGCCAAGUACUUCUAUAUUGCUGGUUUUUUCUUGACUGUAUCGCCAGAAUCCAUUCAGCUUGUUGCUGAACAUGCAGCCGCAAACAACAAGGUACUUAGAAUGUCAUACCUUAAAAAUUCCAUCUUAUUUACUGCUUUCGAUAACCUGUGCAAUAAAUAGUCUUGACUAUUGCAUUUAUCUGCAGGUCUUCAGCAUGAACCUUUCUGCCCCAUUUAUCUGUGAGUUUUUCAAGGAUGUCCAGGAGAAAGCUUUGCCGUAAGCAUUUUGUUUUUCUCUUGUUCCUUCGGGAAUUAAUCAAGUAUAUGAAUUUGCUGAUGGACAUGCCUUUUUAUGAAUUUAGGUAUAUGGAUUAUGUUUUUGGAAAUGAGACAGAAGCAAGAACCUUCUCAAAAGUUCACGGCUGGGAGGUAAUGGUCUUAUUACUAAUUGAGCAUUACCAGAUUGAUGGCUUGCAUUCAUAUUGUUGACCUACCUUCAUUGAAUUACCAGACCGAUGAUGUUGAGCAAAUAGCUCUUAAGAUCUCCGAGUGGCCGAAAAUAGGUGGACGCAAGAGGAUCACUGUUAUUACUCAGGGGGCAGAUCCUGUGGUUGUAGCUGAGGAUGGGAAAGUGAAGAAGUUCCCAGUCAUCCUGUUGCCAAAAGAAAAGCUUGUUGAUACCAAUGGAGCAGGUAUGCUCUUGAAUAUAUCUGUAGUCAUAGUGAUUAUGUAGCUGCUAUUCGAAUUUAUUAAAACAGCAAACACUUCCAAAAUGCUACAUAAACAAAUUGUUAAUUCAUUUAUGUUAUUCUGGGUAUAGGGGAUGCUUUUGUUGGAGGUUUUCUAUCUCAGCUAGUUCAAGAGAAACCCAUUGAAGAUUGCGUGAAGGCUGGUUGUUAUGCUGCAAAUGUGAUCAUCCAGAGGUCUGGCUGCACCUACCCAGAGAAGCCUGACUUUAACUGAGCCAUGAUUCCUUUUGUUCUCUACUUCCUAUCUAUGCUUCAUUUGAAAUUUUGAUUGUUGAGACUUGAGAAGUCUACUGCUAUUUUCCUGUCUCUGUAUUUGCUUAUCAAGUAUCGGUCGUUUAGUGGAUGCAUGCAUUAAUAGCCCACUAAACCCCAGUUAUUGGUUAUUAUGGGAUUUUUUGAUCCCUCCAUUGAAGAUGGGAUAGGACUACACGUAUUGUAUUCUACUGGUAGAAAAAUUCAGUUUUCCUUGAUAUCUGGUGAGAAGAAGCAUCGAACAGUUUCUCUCUGAUUCAAUUCUUUCCAAUCAUUAUAUAUCUGGUCAUAUGACGCAUUUCAAAUUUCUUAUAGAAUUGUUACUCUUUCUUCAGUUUCUUGUGUAAAACCAUAUACAGAAACCCAAGACAUUCAAAACAGAACCCAAAUUAUUCCCUGCAUAAAAAUGUUUUUGUCAGAUAACGCUCCAUAGAAGAACAUUUGCAGUCCAAACCUUUUUGUUUUUUUUUGUAUCAGAACAUGAAAUUCAUUAAGCCACAAAUGGGCAAAGAAAAAUAGAAGCAACAGAAGAGAAUAACAAGCACUGGAAACAACCAAACAAGGCCAACAGAACUAAGCAAAACACCAUAAAUAACACAAAAAAACACAGCAUGAAGAUCAUUUGCAGUCCAACUUGAACAGUCAUACAAUUCGUCAAGCCCCUUACGAGAAUGAUCCUCUCUUUAUCCUAAUCAAAUUUGACUGCAAACUAAGAUUUUCUCGUUUCGAGUAGAUAAACAUGCCCUAAAUGUAAGUGGGUGAGGCGGUGAGUCCUACUUAUUCAUUUAUAAUGCAAAUUUAGUACGAGCAGUAGUGUAGGUAUGAGUAUGACUGUACCAGUGACCUCGACUGCAAUAUGAUCUAGGGAAGCAAUCGUCGGUGAUCGAAAAUACUUUGCAUAAUUUUACUGCAGAAAGAAACAGUUGAAUGGUUCACUGGAGCCACGUUCUCUACCUACCUAUAUAUAUAUUUUCGUAUAAAGACACAGACAUGCUGCUUCAGCAGAUCUUUAUUCUGAAUCUUGCUACUGUCUCAUUGUCUUAAACUUACCACUCAUCUCUCUCUCUCUCUCUCUCUCUCUCUCUCUCUCUCUAUCUAGUCGCUCCUCAGCUUCUGUAAAUCAAUGGCCUCCGAAGGAAUCCUGUUGGGGAUGGGUAACCCCCUCCUUGACAUCUCUGCCGUUGUCGACGAAGACUUCUUGAAAAAGUAAGUUUUAUGUUUUCCCAACACUAAUAUAUGGAGCUAGCUUAUUCUUAUCCCCACAAACUAAAUGAUGUAUUGCGCUUAGAGGAUUUGGUUUUCUGGUUUAGCUGUACAGGAUCGAAUGUAUAGUUUGUACUCGGAAAUUUGGUGUCAUGGGAAUGACUUGAGGGCUAAGGUAGUGUUUGUUUUUGUGCAACAGAUAUGAUCUCCAACUCAACAAUGCAAUUCUUGCAGAGGACAAGCACUUACCCAUGUAAGGAAUUUAGUUUUAUGUACGGUCUAAAGUUUCUCAACUCUGGGGUGCUUUCAAAAUAGUUUCUAAAAGCUACCCCAAAGUAAUUAAAUUACCACUGUGAGACACUUGUGUGAUUGCUAAGCAGCAGCGUCUUUUGUUUUAAUAUGCUUUUUACUGGGUAAAAUUUAACAUGUAUAUAUCUCAGAUAUGAGGAACUUUGUUCCAACCCUAACGUGGAGUACACUGCUGGAGGUAAGCAUGGAUUACACUGUUUUGGUUUUCAAUAUUGUUACUGAGCAUAUCUCAAUUUGUUUUAGAUAUGGAUUGCUUGAGUUACUAAAUAUGAUGAGUAAAAAGAAUGAAACUUUUGAUUGUGGCAGGUGCUACUAACAAAUCCAUUCGAGUUGCCCAGGUACUUCAUUAACUGCUUCUUAUGAUACUCAAGUUAUUAAUCCGAUUAUUUCAUAUCAUUCUUUAAUAGCUGUGAUGUGAUCACCGUAAAGUGAUUUCUCUUUACUUUCUGCAGUGGAUGCUUCAAGAACCCGGUGCAACAAGUUAUAUGGGUAGCAUAGGGAAGGAUAAGUAUGGGGAUGAGAUGAAGAAAAACUCAAAACUUGCUGGUGUUAAUGUAAGUCUCUUAUUCUUUAUAAUGUGCAGUUAUGUACACGAACAAUGACACCAACUUUUGGAACUCAUAUCCUCUAAUCAAUUGCAGCAAGUAAUCUUAGUUUUCCUCCAAAUUUGCACCUUCAACACAUAUAUAUUCCCCUUGCUUCUGGUUCCUUUUAAAAAACAGGUUCACUUUUACGAGGAUGAGUCUGCACCAACAGGAACUUGUGCUGUUUGUAUCGUGGGUGAUGGGAGGUGAGCUUAAGUUCAUGCUAACUUGUUUAACGUUUUUCAGAUUAUGCCUGCCAAUUUGCCAAUUUGGUAGUUGUACUUGUACUGCAAGUGUUCAUAUAAGUAUAAACCCAUAAGAAGUUUCAGAUUAUACCUGCCAAUUUGUUAGUGUGUGUAUGUAGGUCACUUGUUGCCAAUUUGUCUGCUGCUAACUGCUACAAAUUUGAGCAUUUGAAAAGACCAGAAAAUUGGGCAUUGGGUGGGUACCCUUUCAAGUUUCAAUCUUGUGUUUUCAAUUUCAAUUUCUAGUAAUGCACUUACUUCUCUGAAGUGAUUUAUUCGUGAUUGAAUCCUGUUUGUCCCUGCAGUUGAGAAGGCCAAGUACUUGUACAUUGCUGGUUUUUUCCUAACUGUAUCGCCAGAAUCCAUACAGCUUGUUGCUGAACAUGCAGCCAGUAAUAACAAGGUUUUGGAAAUGACAUAAUCUCAUCAAAUUUUUUGUUUCAAUCAGUUCCUGUUUUCAAUAGCAUUUGCUAGAAAUAGUCUUGACACUUCCAAUUAAUUGCAGAUUUUCGGGAUGAACCUUUCUGCUACGUUUAUCUGCGAGUUUUUCAAGGAUGUUCAGGAGAAAGCUUUGCAGUAAGCGUUUUUCCUUCCUCUCCGGCAUAACAAUCAAGUAAUAUGGACGAGCUGAUGCAUGUUUUGGAAUGCAGGUAUGUGGACUAUGUUUUUGGAAAUGAGACAGAAGCAAGAACAUUCUCACAAGUUCAUGGCUGGGAGGUAAAUGGUUGCUCUAGUACUAGAUAGAUCUUACCAAUUAAUGUAGAAUCACUCAUAUUUUAACCUAUGUUGAUCGAUUAGUUUGAUUCAUCAGAUUGAUGAUGUUGAAGAAAUAGCUCUAAAGAUCUCCCAGUGGCCGAAAGCAUCAGGAGCCCACAAGAGGAUUACUGUCAUUACUCAGGGAGCAGAUCCUGUAGUCGUCGCUGAGGAAGGGAAAGUGAAGAAGUUCCCAGUGGUAUUGUUGCCCAAAGAAAAGAUUGUUGAUACUAUUGGAGCAGGUAUCUCUUAUAUGUAGUGAUAGGGAAAUAUCUGCUAUCUUAGAGUUAGUUAAUCCAGCAAACACUAACAAAUGGAAGUACAAGAUAUAAAUUGUUUGUUAACUUCUUGAUAUUAUUUUUGGGUCUAGGGGAUGCGUUUGUUGGUGGCUUUCUAUCGCAGUUAGUUCAAGAGAAACCUACUGAAGAGUGCGUGAGAGCCGGUUGUUAUGCUGCAAGUGUGAUCAUCCAGAGGUCUGGCUGCACCUACCCAGAGAAGCCUGAUUUUCACUGAACCAUGAUUCCUUCUGUUCUUUAGUUCCUACCUAUGCUUUAUGUUGAAGUUUUGAUUGUUGAGAACUCUACUGAUAAAGUAGUCUAGGGUUCACAUCUAAAACCAAUUGGCCAUGGAUAGAGAGACCCAAACCCUUACAGGCAAUGUCUCAUAUUCCCGAUGUGGGAUUGAUAUCUCAACACGCCCCCGCAUAUGUGGCGAAUUUUCAAGCCCAACACGUGGACAACAUUUUGGGUGACGUGGAGUGCGUGUGGCCUUUAGGCUUCACACGUAGAUGUGGGUAACCCACUCUGAUAUCAUGAUAAAGUAGUCUGGGGUUCACAUUCAAAACCAACUGGCCAUGGAUAGAGAGGCCCAAACCCUUAUUAAUCCACAGACAAUGUCUCAUAUUCCUGAUGUGGGAUUGAUAUCUCAACAUCUACUGCUAUUUUUCUCUUUUAUCAACCAAAUGUAGUGGUACAUUUUGGUAUACAACCAAAUGUAGUCUGGCCAGAAAUAGCAGUGAGCAGUCUCUGCUUUUCUUUGUUAGUUGCAUGCUCUUGAUUAUGCAACCCUGUAAAAUCUGAUUUGAUCAUUCCAAUCAGUCAUAUGUAGUUGGAUCUUUCAUUCCAGAUUCAAAAUAGAAUUGACAGUUUUUUGUUCAAAAUUCUAAAAGAAGUGCAAGCUAGGUCUGUUUGUUCAAUAUACAAAAAUGAACUGCCAAAAUGUGAAAUGCAGCUUGUAGCAUUUGGCAGUUGAUGUGUUUCUCUGUUUGAUGCUUCUGCAUUCACCCUAUAAUGAGAAGAGAUUUUUAAACUUGGGAUCUCUACUAAUAUUUAUGUAAGUAUUACUUGGGAUGUAAGAACCCGGGUUGUGUCAAUCAGGUAGUCUUUGUUAUCUUCGGAAAUAAACACUUCUGGUAUUUAUUUAUUGAAUUAAUUUCAGUUUACACUCCUGAGGUUUGGGGUUGACAUCAUUUCACCCCCCAUACUUUUAAUUUUAAAAAUUUACCCCCUAAAAUUUUCAAUUUUCAUAAAUCAAGCCUAAUUGUUAAAAUUCCGUCCAAUUUGGAGGUUAAAUGUUAACAUGAAAUUUUAGAAAAAAAUGUAACAUCUCCAGCAGUGUAACUAAAACUAUUGUUAAAUUUAGCAAUAAUUAUGAGAUUUAACAAUUGUUAUAAGAAUUUGGCUCCAACAGUUAUUGCUAAGUGUAAAUUAAAUAAUAUUAACAAAUUAUAAACUGACACGUGGAGAAAAAAAGAGGGAAAAUAUAAGUAUUUCUUUAGCAAUUUAUGGCUCAAUUGACAAAUUUAUCAAUUUUGUUUAGCAAUUAUUAAAUUUAGCAACCAUUUAGGUAUACUGUUGGAGCUCCUAUUCAUUCGAAAAGUUGACGAAUUUCAAAAAAAAAUUUGAUUUAGCAAUACUGAUGGAGAUGCUCAAAAGGCGAUUUAUGUUGUUAUAUGACUAUUUUAGCGCUUUUAGUGAGUUAUGAAGUUAAAAUUAACGUCUAAAUUAUAUGAAAUUUCAGCAAUUGGGCAUGAUUUAUGAAAAUUUAAAACUUUGGAGAGUAAAUUUUCAAAAUUAAAAGUAUGGGGGGUGAAACGAUGUCAACCCCAAACCUCAGGAAAGUAAACUGAAAUUAAUCUUUAUUUAUUUAUCAUAUUACCAUAUCAUAUAGCUGGGUCAUUUAUCUAUUUUUAUAUUAUAAUGAUCCUCUUGAGAAUAUAUCGUAUAUCACAUCAUAAGAUCGGAUCGAAUUGCUACUUGCUAGAAUGGGUGGACUGGAAAUUGUAUUCUUGUUGUGUUAUUGCACUUGGGUUUGUUGCUUAAGUAUAUUUAAUCACAAAUAACUUCAGUAUAAAUGUAUAGGAAGUUCUUCUAAUGAGGACCUUUAAGUUGAUGACUUGUUGAAGACUUUUCGGCUUAUCCCACUUUUCGAUCUUAUAUCUACAUCUUGACCGUUUAGUUUAUAAGUAUUUAUGAGUAGAUCAUUUCUCUAAAUUUUCAACUAUAUUGAAAAUUGUUAAGGCUGUUGUAAAGUAAAGACAAGAAGAAGAGAAGACACAAAGAGAAUAGCUGGGAGGAGGUAGAAGUCUACUCAUUCAUUCUCAUUAGCCUCUUUAUAUAGAGGUAGGGUUUACAUCAGAGUACAUAACUAAUGAGUAAUUACGUGGACAACCACAUAAAUUACAAUAUUUAUAACACUCCCCCUUCGAUGUCAACCAAUGAAUGAUAAAAUUAAACGCGCAUAAUGUUGUCUCGUUAAAAACCUUGUCAGGUAAGAAAAACCUAGUGGGAGAAAAAUAACCCUGGUCGAAGGAGAAAAAGAGUACAACGCGCAUAUGCCUUAGGUAACAUACUUCUGGAUGCUCCCCUUGAUGAGAAUCUCCCCUUGAACGUUGCAAGUUUCAUGCGCCGUAAAUAACGGUUUGAUUUGUCUAUCACUAAAGUGAGACCAUGCGUGCUUUGCAUAUAGGGGCUCAUCAUGAAAUUUCAAACCUGCAAAGUUAAAGUAAUAACAACAGCUAGAGCUAGACGAUUAUAAAUAAGUCUUACCUCAUUAAGUCGUAUGACCUAAUUCAUACACUAAAUAAUAGCUAAUCAACAAAAGCUAAUUGACAUUAAAACAUUGAAAUAUCAUCAUGGUGUAUUCAGCCAUACACAUCAAUAUCUCUGUGUAUGAUACGUCUCAUAUAAACUCUACAAGAGCUCUGAGUAAUUCAUAACUUCCCAAGAGUUAGAAUAUGUAGCAACAUAAUGAUCAUAAUUCGAAUUCGAUUGUGUAGUUCGAUUAUAAUACUCAUUGAGGCAAUUUCGAUCACGUUAGCUAUAACGGAAUUAGUAUAUAUGAGUUAACUUUACACUAUUUGAUUUCAUGAAUUAGUUUCAAGUUCUCUCAAGUAUUCAUCGAUCGAAUUACAUUAGAAUCAUUCAUGUACUUGAAUCCUUUCAGGAUUUGACCAGCAAUACGCUGGUAAUGACACUUCACUUAUGGGAAUUUGGUUUAUCAAUGUGUCUUCAAAGGCCCUCGUAAUAUACGAUGACAACAUGCCAUAAGUCUCUCGUCAAUGUAACAGUUACAUGUAACACUGUACUUAUAGAAAAGUAUCAUUCGUAUAAGGGCGCGCAUAUUCAUAAUCCCAUGUCUAUUUGUAGACAUUAAAUCAUAGUGAUUUACUUUCGCUAUGGUAAAUGCCCUUUUGUAUCUAUAGGGUUAAAGGUCAAAGUAUCUCAUCACGUUUCAAAUAUUUAGUUUCAUUUGAAUUGCCUCUUUCCAAUUUGGCUAAUAAUAUGCUUUGUCGACAUGCAUAAUGAAACGUGACAUAUCAUCGAUUAAUACAGUCCUUAAUGGUUUUUGGUAGCUACCAUUUGUAAUUUGUCAUAGAUGAUCAUCAUUCAUAGAUCCCGCACAUUCUUAUAUGCAUGCAUUUUUUAUAUUGGGUACCCAUGCCACUUUUGGGGCAAAUAUUGUCACUUCUAGGACAAAUAUUAUUUAGCGAAUGUAGAUCUUUUACUUGUAAUAUCAUGUAGACCAUUAGAGGACCUGUAUAAUUUUCCAUUUUCUAGAGCUUAAAACUUUAGACCUAGUGAAUAAAUUCCACUCAAAUUCACGCCGUUAUUCAAAUGACAAUAGUCUUAUUCUCCUCCUAACGGCGGGAAGACUGUCAUAUUAUGACCAUCAGCAAAUAUGCGUUUAAAGCUCUAUCACUUUCUUUCGAGUGUGAUGUUCAUUGGCUGGUGGCGAACCUAAACCAAGUAUGAGGUCAAAAACAUCAUAUUCAUUAGUAUUAACCAAGAUAUCAUUCUCUAAUAUGCGUACAUACAACCUUUGUAUGUGUAGCAGUAUUAGGGACUCUGACAUUGAUUAGUUUAUAUUCUCUUCAAGAGAACCAUGUCACUUAGGUACAUAUGCAUCCCACAGAUCAAAUGUGUUAAUAUGGUUUGUCCCUAGGACUUUAACCCAAGCAGAUGCCUUAGCGUUUAGCAUAUAAUUUUAUCAAGGUCUUUUAUCAACUCAUUUGCUGAGAUAUUUCUCAAAACCAAAAUAAGACGGUGGAUAGACAACUCACACCAAUUUGCAUCAUUUUUCAAGAACAAUCUUUCUCCCCUCAUGACAAGAGGAGUGUUUCAUUGAGGUGACAACUUGAAAAUAUGUGGCAUAUAGACUAGUGGUCAUCAAAACUUGUAACUCAUUCAAGACAACAGUCUAGGUAAAUUAUGACUUAGCUAGUCAUGCCUGAUUUCAAUGAACUUCUGGUUCAUGAUAUUAUAUGUCUCGAGUUAUUGUAGAAAUUUAACACUGUAUGUGCUCUUCUGGAGCCAUCAAUGAUGCGUGCAACCAAACGUUUAGGUUUGAAAUUUACUAUUAGAACUUCGGGUUCUACUGUCUGGUCCAAAAAUAUUACACUCGAAAUUCAUAUGAUCGAGAUGUAGGGCUAUUGGCCCGAAUGAAUAAUAAUAAAAUUUAAAUGAACGUAUUGUAAUGAAAAUGCAUAACAAAAUGAGAAAAUUGUAAUGAACAUAAAUAAAUAAACUUCGCAUUGGAAACUUCUGGUUUCAUAGAUGAAUAAAAUAUGCAUAACUCUUAGUCUGAUUAACUUCACCAAAUAUGAUAAUCUUGAUGUAUCGAUCUCCAUAGCAUAAUAUCAUAUAAGGUGGGGAACUUCAGGCCCUCAUAUGAUUCAUAAUAUGUGGUUUCAAUCAUUGUAUAACUAUGAGGAACUUCUGGCCUUGUUAGUCGCAUAAGUUUUUAGAGACUUCAUGUCACAAUUUUGAUUAUCGUUCUCAUGAGGAACUUCAGGCCCUCCAUUUCGAUCAAGAGACUCCAUGUCUCAAUCUGUGAACACAAAACUCAUCAACAAAUGUAUACACCAUCAAAUUAUCAAAUAGCUAGGUCAAAAAGUGUCACACCCUGGUUCUUAAGUUAUUUUACGGUUAUUUACUUUGGUAUUAUUUUGGUCUUUUACCGUUUUAAGUAACCGUUUACUAUUUAAGACUCCAAAAGUUGACUUUUUCUUCUGUUUGGAAUUUGGGAAAACUUCCUUCAUGAAAGUCGUAGAGGACGUUAAACGGAGUUCGUGGACAUGCGGCACGCUUAAAACGGAGUUCGUAUGAAGAAGUUAUGGCCUAAAAACGAAAGUUACUAUAUUGGUAAAAGGAGGUAAAUUCUAGUAGGCUUUAUUUUGUGGGUGUUUUAAGUUUGGACCGGGUGAAGAGGGGGUCAAAGCCCAACUCUCACUCUCUCUCUCUUCCUCCCUUCUCUCCCGAGCUCUCUCUCCCGCCGGAGACUUCAGCUCCGCCUACCGCCGCCGUCUGGCCACUGAAGACCGCCAGACCACCUCUGUUCGGACCCCUGCUGUCUCCUCUCUCUUCCUGGGCCAGUGACCAGCCGUGUAACGCCGCUGUUCGAGAGAAAACCUGCCGGAGACGCCGGACUGCCCUUCGCCGGAGUUCUCUCCUCCGGUCACCAUAGGUCGGGAUUUUUGGCUCAUCUUCUAGCCCUCAUCAAGGUGAGUAAUCCCUCAAAAGGAUUUGGUCUAAUUCGAUCUUGUUAAUGAGAAAUGUAUAAUGGAAGUUUUAGGGAUUUAUAGAUUUUUAGUUCGAUUACCCUAGUUAAGAUUAGAAUUGGAUUAAGUGUUAGUUAUGAAAGUUGUUGUACUUAAUGAGAGGAUUAUUUUGUUAAAAUUUGGGAGGCAAUGGGCAUCGCCGGAGUAUGGCUGCCGGCCGCCGCUGCCGGCGAAGCAUGCGGUGGCGCCGCCACUUGGAGGUUGAUUUUCAGGUUUUUAGGUUUGUUUUAAUGAGAGGAGUCUAAUGAAGUAUAGUUUGGAAUUUUUGGAGGAGUUUUGUUAAGGUUUGAGAUUUUAAAAGAUUAAGGUUUUUGCCGGUUAUUAGAAUGAAAAUCCGGCCGUUGGAUUUCCUCGAUAUUUAUUAUAGAAUGUUAGAAUUGAUGAAUUAAAGUUGUGGUGGAGUUGGUGUGAAUCCGGUGAGUUGAACCCUAUUAAGAGUAGUGGGUUCAACGGAAGAGAGUUAGAUGUUUUUACUCACGUAAUUAUUUUCCGGAAUUGAAGUUAGUCCUAAGCAUGGUUGUUGUGCCAGGAUUCGAGGAGACCCCACUUGAGUGGUGAUUCAGAAUUCGUCAGGCUUAGGCCUAAAUCUGUGAGUGGACAUUUUGGUUUUUAAUUAAUAUGUAUGCAAGAUUUUAUAAUUUAGUAUUUUAUUUUCCGAGCAUAUAUUAUAACUUCGGUAUAUGAAAUGAUCUUGAAAAUUAUUUGAGAUUGAUGCAUGGAUUAAAUGUUGGUCAUAAUUUAUGGAUUUGAGCUCGGAUUAAUAAUUUGGGAUUUGAGUUUGGAUAUUCUUUACGAUUUCCGGAUUUGAGAUUUCGUACAGAAUUGCAUAUUGUUUGGUUUUUGAAAGAUGGUAAUUAUAUAAGUAAAUUAUUUCUUUGAGCAUUUUAACGUGUGGGACAAGUCGUUGAUUUAAUUAAGUUCUUUGCUCUUUAAAUUCUUUGAGUACAGUUGAGAAUCGUACUUAUGUUUUUAGUUAUGAGUUUCGGGGAAACUCACAUGGAUUUAUGUUUCUUUAUUUAUGUCAUACUUGUUGGAUCGUUAUUAUUCAUGCUAGCAUGUUGUUCUGCCUUUCGAGGCGAUGUAGCUUCCACGUUUUAAGUGGGGUUACUCAAGCCUUUUCCGUCUUCGGGUGAUGUGAUGUAGUCGACGACAUCACGCAAGCCCUACACCCUAUCUGUUAUCAUAACAUGAAGGUGUAGGGAGUAUGGGAGUACUUUGCCUGGGAGGCAACCGAGUCUGGGAGGCUCACUUGUAUGGCUAUAUCUGUUUAUUGUUUAUUGUUGUUGACAUGAUUAACGGGGCUAGUCCAUCUUUUUGAUAUUCCUUUUUACAAAGGUCUUUUCAAAUCCUUAUUGUUGUUUUGUCUAGCGGGGCUAGUCCAUUAUUUUGGUAUUUUCUUCAAUGAAUGUUAUUAUUUAUCUUUGUCAAUAUUUUGACUAGCGGGACUAGUCCGUUUCCUUAAUUGGAAUUUUCUUUAUGAAAGUUUUAUCAACACUUGCAUGCAACAGAUUUCUUGAUUAUUGGAAAAUGGGAAAGUAAUUAAGUUUAGUUAGUUAUGUUGCGAUCAGUUACUUGAUUAUUUUUCGUCCACUCACUCUAACGUUUUUAAAUUUCUUUCCCCUGGGCCCUUUGGUUUUAAAUGCCUAGUUUGCAGGCUAAAUUAUUUGAGGUCGAGCGUACAUGGAGUCGAGGCAUAGUCAGAGGUUGCUUCCGCUUAUUCUUUAGUCAUUGUUUUUCGUUUAACUUUAGGUCUACUCUGAUAAUCAGUUAGUGAAUUAAUGUAAGUUAUUGUUGGUUGUGAGAUUAGUUUAGUUGAGUAAUUGUUAUAUUGGGAAAUGUGUUGAACUUGUGGAGCAGGAAGGCUCCAGGUGUUGAGGAUGGAUGUUUGUUUAUAGAAGUGUUAAGUUGGAUUUUUUUUCAGGUAAGGGUUGUCCAUUUUCUAGGUAGAUUAUCCCGAAUUUUCGGUAAAUUUUCCUUGGAGGUGGACCCAGCAAGAAUUACCUCGGAUUUCGGGUUUUAGGGUCCUGUCAAAAAGAUAUAUACCUGAAUGGCUGAAUUCAAUCAUCUAAUUGGUAAUAAGAAGGCUUUGUGUUUCAUUCGCAUAAGGCACAUACCAAUGCUAUCAACCAUACCCAAAUAAACAAAUAUUGUGCAUCGAUAUCACUGAAUACCAAAUUGAUCAUAUUGACGAAAACAUACAAUUCAAAAUUUGAUAAUAAGCAAAAGAAACAGAUGCACCUUCAUGCAAACUAAUUACUAUUAGUUGGGAUCUAGCAUUCUAGCAUCAAGAACCAAAAGUAGUAAAUAAUCAGUAACAUGUACACCCAAAAUUGAAUGUCAAACAACACCAGAUGUCGUACACUAAUCAAGUGUUAUAUAUAUGCUGUAUAUUUCCAUAUACAAACAAGCAUCAAUCUAAUGUUCAUUCGUGUCAUUUAAAAUAUAGGUCAUGUAAUCAGUUUGACAUGUAUGAUGUAUGUAAACAUAAGAGAGUUAUAGGACUCAUGCAUGUACAUAGGCAACAGGGUGUUUGUGCGGUCAAAAGUAUGAACAUAACAAGAACAUAUCAAUUUGCACAACUUCGUCGAAGGACGAUACGGCAGCCAUAAAAGGCACAGGUACAAAAGACACAGGCCACCGCUUCGUUUCAGAAUGCGAGAGGGCUUGGACAACUUUAGUCCACAACUUACAAAUCCCAAAACUCUGGUCAAACUUGGGCGAUCUCAUUCAUCUCCAAAUACACUCCGGAGUCUCUUGAAUGAGAGAUCAAUUACGGGGUCUAUGUGCUUCGUUCAAACUCGAACGCAUAUAUACAACCCCACCCUAUUCAAAUUAAGCUUCAUGCUGAUCAUCUCCAGACGCACAAGUCCAGUCGGCAUCGAGCCGGAACAAGUUUAGUACUCAACUCAGAACCCUUGGCUCAAUGAGAAAAGUUAACGAGUACGUAACAAAUAAAAAUAUGUACACAGAUUAUAGCAAUAGAACAUUCAACACAAAAGCGAAAAAUUAAGAGGAAACUCAUAGAUCAAGAACAUCGGUCAAAUGCAACAAGUUGCAUCGUAUGAUUUAGAUCAUCAUUGAGUUUUUAAACAAAACACUGAUAUUCUAGGGUUUGGUCGUUAUCAACUCAAAAGGUAGAGUCGUGCUGAUGACGUGUUGUAAAGUAGAGAAAAGGUAGAGAAGACACAAAGCGAAUAGUUGAGAGAAGGUAGAAGUCUACUCAUUCAUUCUCAUUAGCCUCUUUAUAUAGAGGUAGAGUUUACAUCAGAGUACAUAACUAAUGAGUAAUUACGUGGACAACCACAUAAAUUAUAAUAUUUAUAACAAAGGCAUUCAUAAGUGUAAUUUAUCAAUUAUGAACUUAAACGGUUCAUAUUUGACAGAUUUGGUUUGUCCAUUAAUUUGAUCUAGUUUGUUAUUUUAAUGAACAUCAAUUUGGCUGAAAAUUUGUAGAAAUAAUCUACUCAUAUAAAUCUAAAAACUGAAUGGAUGAGAUGUCAAAAUGUGAUAAAAAAAUGGGUUUUUUAAACCAUAAACUGAAAAGUCUUCAACUAGUCCUGAACUUAAGAAUCCUCACUAGAAAAGCUCUCUAAAUGUAUAAUCAUCGGCCCCGCUUUUAUAAUCUAUACUCAUCUCGAUUACAUCAAAUUGAACAAUAUAUCUCACCAGUAAUCAUGUAAGUUAGACUUGGGUUUUGAUUCUUUAAGGCUAUACGGAGUAAACAAGAGUCCAUCUUUAUUCUCCAGCAUUUUGAAUCUGUUAAACUAUUACUACUUUUUUCUUGUUUUGAAAGACGGUGUCUAGCUCUUAAGUUUUGAUUAAUAAAACUAUAGAAUAUAAGAAAAAAAUUGAGAGAGAGGGUAUUUACUCUAAUAUGCACUACUUAGCAAAUGAUGCUCAAUUGCCUACAUUAUAUGCUCUGUCAAAGUGGUGAGAAAACGUAAAAAAAAGUCUACUAUUGUUCUAGGAUAUUCUCUAUGUGUGCCUUGGCCUUAUGCCAAUAGGAUAUGUAGUUAGACUAGAUCUAUGUAUUCAUAUCCUUACCAUAUUGGUAUUGUGUAAUUCCCUAUAUAAAGGGCUCCUAUCAAUGAAUAAGAUGAUUCUCUUGCUAUCUCUUUGUCUCUACACUUUAUUCUUCAUCACGUUAUCAUGCACUUUGUUCUAACCCUAGAGCCAAUAGCCCACCAUUUUUUCCAAACCCUAAAACCAAAACCCUAAAAUCGGGCAGCCUUGUUUUUCCCGAUUUUCGACCAAAAUUCCGACUGCCCUCCGCCGGAAUUUUAUAUCCCCAGAAAGCUCUUUCCGUCACGGAUCCAACGCCGCCGGCCUCACCCUGAGAACCGGCCGGAAAGUCUCCGAACCGGCCGCCGGAAAAUUCCAGACCGCCGCCGCUACNN
rnacentral:lncRNA from 1 species